rnacentral:lncRNA from 1 species
UCCAUAUGACCCUAGCUAACAUUCUCAUAUUCUUCCCAUCGGAAACCACCUCCAUCACCCACCCAUCACAGUCACCUAACUACCUUUCACCCCACAAUCCGCAAAGGUAUCCCCGUUCCAGCAACAUAAAGAACCAGUAGUGGUGGAGAUGAAAUCUGGAAGCUAUGGCAGAACCCGAGCCCACUUCCUGUAAAUUGGAUUCCUAGCUAGCACCACCACCAAAACCCCAAUUCCCCAAAAUCCCCACCAUCUUUCACCGCAUCCGCCAUUUCCACCCCAACCUAAUUUCAGUACCAAAUUAUAGUUUUAUUAGACAGAGAUCAUUUAUUGGUUUGUUCAAGUUUGAAUGGGUGGUGGUAAUGGAGAAAGAAGGAGAAGAUCGAGGUGGUUGCUCAAGUGGGAGGGGAAGAAGAAGAUGAACAAGUUUUUUUCAAUAAAAUAUUUCUCUCUAAUGACUCAAUUCCUUUGGAAACUCUAUUUUUAUGGUAAUUUCUGACACGAUCCGUUAACCUGACAAGAAAUUAACAGGUUUUCGGGUUAACACGAUAAUGAAUAUUAAGCUAACAAGUCGGUCUAGAUAUACAUGCAGGUAACUUGUUACAUGAUAUGAAAAAUAUUAAUUUAACAAUUUCAUACCACUAAAAAGAAAUACUAUAAUUAACAACAGUAUGAUUUAAUCCCGAAUUGAACUGAAAGUUAAAAUAUAUAUAUAUAUAAAUAAAAAAAAAUUGAUGACCGUUGGAUCGGCUCAGAUUUAAUUUUUGGUCGUCCAAUGUUUUUUUUAUCCUUAAAUCAGACUCUUUCUCAUUCUCAAAGGCUGGAAUUGAAGCAGCUGCUCUCUUUCUCAAACUGAACUCUUGAAUCUCAGUCUCAAACCUCAACUCUGGUCAGCCAUAAAUCCAUGAUCACCCUCUCUAGUCUCCCUCCACUAGACCAUUGUCACCGCAUAGUGGACUAGUAACCCACAACCAGUCGAUCUGCUAUUUUUGUAUCUGAUUCUCUCUCUGGAUCGAGUCAAUCUCGAGCUCUAAUCGAGGUAAUUGUUGAUUAUUUCGAAUUACUUUUAAAAAAUAGGGUAUUGUUUCGAAUUAGUUUUCAAAUUAAGAUUGGUUUCGUUUAUUCAAUUUGGGGUUUUUCGUUUCGAAAUAGUUUUCGAAGUAAUAUUUAUGGGGCAACAUGGUAUGUGCAAAUUUAGGGGAAAAAAAUAUUUUUCUUCACAUAUCAUAAUGAGUCAGGUCAUUUUACAUGUUGGGUAAUAUGACCUAACCUGUUAAGAAUAUGUUAAGAUAAUAAGUGUGACAUGAUACAAUCCGUUAAGAUAAUAGGUGUUAUACGAAAACGAUACGAACACGACAAACAUAAUCUGUUUGUCAAGCCUUUUCGACCAUUUUCUUUCCAAGUCUGUCUGCUUACACCACUUUCUUCUUUCUUCUUUCGUACUGUUCAAAUGAUCAAUUACAUCAUUUCUUGUUCGUUGUUUUCAAAGUAGAAAUUAAUUUCUUUUCUUAAUAUUUUUUUGUUCACAUGGUCUUCUUCUGAUUUUUUGUUUUUUUUUUAAAUGUUUAAUGUUUAAUAAAUUUUUAUAUACAAUAUAAUAUUUUUUUAUUAGUUAAAGAAGUCAAUAAGGAUAAAUUAGUAAAUUUAUACGCAAAUUUUUUACUCAAGGAGUUAUAUAAAAAGGAUUUAAAAUCUGAGGAGUGUUAGUGGAAUGUCUUAAACGUGAGGAGGUUUUGUGAAAACUUGAUAAACCUCAAGGGGUGUUUGAUGUAAUUAACCCCAUUGCUUUACCUCUUUUCAUGCUAAUCACGCCACAUAUCCACUAAUACAGUGGUUGUCCCAAUUAGCAUUAAUUUUAGCUUUUGAGUCUUUUUUAUUUGAAAACGGCUCGCUUUUUUUUAUUUAGAAUGUCUUCUUUAAAGUUUGUACCUCUUUUUAGUGUUGCAAUUAAACCUUUAUUACUUCACCUAAAAAAAUAAAACAAAAGAGAGAGUAAGAAGAAUGAUGACAUCAGGUAUCCUAGGAAUUUGUCAGAAGUAAAAAUAGCCAUAUGAAUCCUUUUUUAAUAACCAUAUGACUCAAUAUUAAUUUUCUUUUCUAUACAAGCGGCGUUGGGUUGGGGUAGAAAAAUGAUACAUGGUCAUAGAUGCUAAGCAAAUGUUUUUAACCAUUUGAGUUACAUAAUGUAUGACUAAAAAUUUAACUGGCCAACUUUAAAUAAAAGUCAAAAUUUCAACCAAGCUUGAACGUUUCUAAACUCAAACCUCUCUACAUUUAAAUAUUUUGACAUUAGACUUUAGAAUUCUAUAAUAAUUAAAAUUUACCUUGCUCCUAAUUUCAACCUAUAUAGAGAGAGGAAAAAAACUUUCAUGAACCGGGUAUAAUGUCAUUGCGCCGUCCCAUGCUAAUGAUAUGUGGAGAGAAGCUUACAAAUGUCAUGAUAUUAUUAGCAUGGAGGACCACUCUGGCAAUGCAUCGUUCUAUGUAAGUUGCUCUUUAUAGAGAGGGGAGAACCUGGUAUGCAAUUGGAAGCAAGAUGACAUAUUCCAAGCCUAUUACACGGUCUAUUUAAUUGAACUUGUUCGCUUGACAUUUUGCGAUUGAUUUGGAAUAUCAUAUAAUUGACAAGGGAAAAGUUAUUUGUAAGAGUGCAAGAUGGAAUAGUGUUUUCAAUUUCGACAGUAAAAUUUUUGAAUUCGUAAUCCGAAUAUUUUUCAAAAAUUUGGAAUGGAAAUUGGAUUGCAUCUUAGAAUUCCAAGGUCCGUAUUUUGGAUCCUAAUUUUCCAUUCCAAACUUAUUUCAAUAAAAAAAAAUUCUGAAAUAUUCUAAUUUUUUGAAUUAGUUAAUCAAAUUAUGUAUAUUGUAAUCAACUUUUGUAUUUUAUCGUUAGUUUUGGAUACAUGUUGUUUAUUUUUUUUUCUUUGAUAUUAAGCAUGCACUUAUAUAUUAAAAGCAUAAGCAACAUGUCACAUCCCGGCCCGGGCCUCCACCAUAUCUCGGGCUCAAUUCCUCUGUAACACAAUAUUAUCCGCUUUGGACCCCAACCACGUCUUCACGGUUUUGUUUCUGGGAACUCACACGAGAACAUCUCAGUGGGUCACCCAUCAUGGGAUUGCUCUCGCGCGAACUCGCUUAAAUUUGGAGUUCCGAUAAAACCCCGAAGCUAGUGAGCUCCCAAAAGGCCUCGUGCUAAGAAGAGGUGGACAUGUACAUAUAAGGCAUGGAGGAUCCAAUCCCCUGUGGAAUGUGGGAUGCUACAAUCCACCCCCUUAGGACCAGACAUCCUUGUCGACAUACUUCCGACUAGGGAUUGGAUCUGAUACCAAAUUGUCACAUCCCGACCCGGGCCCCCACCACAUCCCGGGCUCGACUCUGCUGUAACACGAUAUUGUCCACUUUAGGCCCCGACCACGCCCUCACGAUUUUGUUUCUGGAAACUCACACGAGAACUUCCCAGUGGGUCAUCCAUCCUGGGAUUGCUCUUGCACGAACUCGCUUAACUUCGGAGUUUCGAUAGAACCCGAAGCCAGUGAGCUCCCAAAAGGCCUUGUGCUAGGAAGAGGUGGGGAUGUACAUAUAGGUAGCGUUUGGUGCGCAGACGGGACGGGACGGAACAGAUGUUCUGUGCUAUGUUUGGUACGCGCAGGACGGAACAUGAUGGUUGUUCCGUUCUGCGUUUGGUAACGCAUGGACAGAACGGAACCAAAAGAUUAAAAAGACUAAAAUACCCAUGUUCCGUCUGUUGUUUAGUACAAUUUUAUGCGUGGAACGGGACAAGACUUUUUUUUUUUUUUGGGUUCAAAUUUGAACACUAUUAUCCAUUAUUUGUUUUUCUUGGUCCAAAUUUUAAUAGGUAUAUGUUGUGUUCCACAUGCAAACCCCUUUAAAAUUUGUAAUUUUUAAUCUCCUAGUUUUCUACAGCUCCAUUUGAAUUUUCAGCACCAACCCAUCAAAUUUUAUUAUGCAAAUGUCAACCACAUAAAGCAAAAGAACAGUUUUCUUCUCCUAAUUCCUACAGCUUACAUCAAGUAUCCACUUGUUUAUCUAAAGAGUUAUUCAAUUCAUUCUAUUAUAAUCUUAGAUACCAAACAAAGCCUUCGCCUUUGUUUUUCAUGAAAAACGCUUUCAUAUCUCAGUCCUAAUAUACAUCAAUGUCCACUGUUUAAUAUACUAGCAAUAACCAAAGACAACCCGUGGUGUUGAUCGACAUUGCCAGAAUUUUAUCAUUACCAGAAAGCCAGAAUAUUUGAAGUGUUAGUGGUACUGCACUACAGAGGCAGAAUAUGUACAAACUCACAAAGCAAAGCAAAGAAUAAUAAUCAAACUUGUUACUUAAACAGAGAAGAAAUAAAAAACAUUUGAACAAUUGGUUUUCACUGUAAUGCCAUCAAAUUACAAAGAAAUUUUUUUACAAAGAAAGAAAAUCAAUGAGUACAAAGAUGAAUAGGAAUUAGAAAACAGCGAAGGUUUCCAAAGUGAAUGCAUAACCAGAAAUAUAACCUGUUUGCUCUCAAUAAGAUCGACCUCCCCUUCCUGUUGUGCCAAUUAACAAAUACAACAUCAGGAAUCUGAUAAAUUUACAUCAUGGCAGAGUAAAACAAAAUUAUAUAUAAGAGAGCGAACAUCAACUCACCAACCCAGAGACCAUUUGAUGAAUCAAUUCAAUAGCAAUCAAAUUACAAAGAAAGAGAGACCGAGAGCUACACAAAAACAGAUCGAACCUGGAGCGGAGAUGCAGAUCUGAAGAUGCUACACGGAAGAGGAUAAGGAGGAAGGUUCACAGAGCUGCUACACGGAAGAGUUGCGAAGGGAAGAUGUGAAGAAGAUGAGGAGGAAGGUUGCGAAGGGGAGAGAUGGGGGUGAAGAGGAUCGGCGGCUGAGAAGAAGAUAAAUAGAUUUUAGGGUUUGUUAUAUGAUUUUGAUGCUGUAAAUUUUGAAAAAGAUAGGGGGCAUUUUUGUCCUAAAAUGUUAAAAAUUUAUGUCCCACGGGCAUGGAACAACCCGUUCCACGGGGGGGGGGAGGUGGAACCAAAAAUCCUUAAAAACUUGUCCCGUGGAACGCCUCGUCCCACUCCUUUUAGGCGUACCAAACGUAGGACGGAACGUCUCGUCCCGUCCCGUUCCGUCCCGUCCCGCGUACCAAACGCGCCCAAGGCUUGGAGGAUCGACUCCCCUGGGCGAUGUGGGAUGUUACACAACCCACUAUAUUGCAAAAUUAAUUGAAUUUAUACAUAAGCAUACACCAAAUAUUAAGGGAGAACAAUAAAUUGCAUGUAUGAAAAUGUUUGAGAAUAUUCAAAAACCUAUAAAAUAUAUGAAUUUUCGAAUUAUAUAAUGAAAUUUAUGAGGUUACUCCAAUCAAUUCUGAAUAUUUAGAAAAUUUUGAAAUUAAAAAUUGUGAUCCGAUCCGAAUCGAAUCCAAAAUUUUAGAAUGAAAAUUGGAAACAUUAUUUCUGAUUUAAUUCUUCCGAAAACCACACCUCAUUAUUUGCUUGAUCAGAGAUUCUUUCAUACACAUUUCUCUAUUAAUUAAUGAAACCCUCUUUGUCAAUCAAAAAAUGGUGAAAAGACAAUUUAAUCUUCUAUCACACAAAAAAUGAUGGGCAAUAAUGUAAUUUCACAGAUCCAUUUAACUUUGAAUAUUUCAAAAUUUUCGAAAUUAAAAAUUGUGAUCCGAUCCAAAUCGAAUCCAAAAUUUUAGAAUGAAAAUUGGAAAUAUUGUUUCUGAUCUAAUCCGUCCGAAAAUCACACCUCAUUAUUUGCUUGAUCAGAGAUUCUUUCAUACACUAUUUUCCACAAGUGAGUGGUUGUUCCUUUCCCUGAUAGCCGUAAAGAGAUCAUUGUUGUUAGGCCUAUCAAAAUGAUUUCUUUCUUCUUUGUGCGGAGCAGGCCUAGGUACCGUUUGGUACGUGGGACGGGACGGGACGGAACGGGACGAGCCGUUCCGUCCCACGUUUGAUGUGCCUAAAAACUGUGGAACGGAUUGUCCUAUGGGACGAAAUUUGGCUGAUUUUUCGUUCCACUUCUUUCCCCUGGAACGACCCGUCCCACAUCCGUGGAACAAAAAUUUAUAACAUUUUAUGACAAAAUUUCUCCUUAUCUUUUUCAAUAUUUACAUCAUCCGUUCCGUCCUGUUCGGUCCUGUCCCGUCCCGUCCUGUUCCGUCCCGCCCUGUCCCGUUCCGUCCCGUCUGCUUAUGCUUUGGUCAAUAACUCUCAGGGCUUAAAACACUUUGUAGAAUUAAAAAGGAACAAAAAAAAGACCUACGAGGUUUUGUUGCAAGAGUUCCACGGUCUAAAACUCACAUUACGGUUUAUUACUAAUGAGUAGAAAAAGUUCAAAACUAUUACAAUAAUUUAAGAAAGUUUCGAAUUUGAGACGCAUGAGCAGAAGUCAAUAUCAUAUAAGACCACAUGCUUUCUAUGUUAUAACUUUUUGAUUUGUUGAUUUGCAAACCGGAGGACGUUAGGUGGAAGACUCGAGGUGCACCUAUAUAAGUUACGUGCGCACACAAAUACAUAUGUGUAUAUAUUAAUAUAUAUGCUUAAUAUAUAUGCAUGUUACUCAUGGUAUUUGCCUUGCAUUUUCUAAAAUAUAUGCUUGUUACUCAUGGUAUCUGCCUAAACACGUGCACAUGAAGGUUGCAAGUAGGCAAGUGUUUUUAUUUUUGUUUUAGGAACAAAUUGCUUUAUCCGAAAAGAAGAAAAAAAAAACUCAGAUAAUAGUAUCAUGAGCAGUAAAGAGGCAUACUACAGAAGUGCUAGUUGGUUUAGUAAUUGAAGUUAUGAAAUAUUAAAAAAUAAAAUAAAAAAUUGGUGAGAGAAAAUAGGAGUAGAAGAGAAAGUAAUUUAAUGAAAUUACGAUACUAUCUUUGUUUAUUUAAACUAUUAUUGUAUUUUUUUUUCCAAUAAUAUAUUUCAACUAAGUGGAUAUAGGAAUAGUCAAUUAAUAUUAUGGUCUAGUGGUAUUCAUUUUUACUUACAAGUGAGAAGUUUUAAAUUCUAUGCUUAAAAUUGGCAAGCUCAUUAAUUGGGUCAAAUUUCACAGUUAUUGGUAUCCUAAGCCGACAAGGGACACAGGUUAGUGUUGAACCACUUCUAUCACAAAGCUUGGAGUCACCCUUCCUUCCAUUAUAAUCUGUCUGAUAUGUUUUUUUAAAUCAACUAUUUCUUUAUAUUUCAAAUCAAUUCUGAAACUACAAAUUUUAUUUCAAAUUGAUUAUCAAACAAUUCCGAUUACGCUUAGUUGGACAAUUUGAUUUGUAUGUAUCUGUUCUAAUUUGUUUUUGUACUUAGGAAAUGUUGUAUAUCCAUGUUUUCAUAUCAAAAGAUUCGAAGCUAUGUUCUCCAUGAGCAUCAUUACCUCGGCCUUCGUGUUGUGAUUUCAUUGCAUAGUUUGAUAUUAGGAUUUAUGACUAUUUUACCAGAUUAUUAUUGAUUUACACUAGUGGGAGGAUAAAUGGUCCUGAUCUAUCACAACUAAGAUAUUCUUUCUGGUUACAACUUACAACCAGUAAGAUAUUUUUGAUAGUCAUAUAUCAGCAUAUUGUGUAAAAUCCGUAUAGUUCUGUUUGGGCCCAAAAUAUUUAGUUUGGGCCGAGUGUGGAAUCAUUCUUGGCCCGGAAAGAUUUAUUGUUAGGGGUCGUCUUGUUCAUGGGCCGCUUAAUUAGAGUCGGUCGAGCCCCAUUGGGAAAAGGAGCGGCCUGGAUAAGGAAGAGGCGUGGGAAGUUAUGCGGUUAACAGAAAUCCUGGUGUGAUAAGGAGUCCCGGUGAGAUGAGGAGGUCGAGACACAUUUUGAAUACAGCCUGGUAGAAAGGUUAGGUUCAAAAUCCUGAUGGGAGUAGGAGUGCUCGAGAUGGUGUUUGAUUAGAAGAAGAAGUCCUAAUCCGAGUAGGGUUUAACUACUCGGAUUAACUCUACUUAGGAAGUAUUUGAUGCUAUAAAUAGAGGAGGCUGUGCAUUGUUCAAGCUCCCUCCAAUUCAACACACAACUGCCCUGCGCAAACUCUCUCAACAACUUUGAGAUUUUUUAUUUUCUCUUUUCGCUGACAUAUCUUCUGUUGGCAUCAAUAGCACUGUGAAAGCAACCGAUGAUAUCUUCAAUCGGCAUAGAUAGCUCAGUCGCCGUAGAAUCAGCCGAUCUCGCAGCAUCUUCCGUUGGCAUCAAGAGUAAUGCGGCGAAGGCGGUUGGUUGCCUAUCCAAGUCUCGGUCGAGAAGGAUUUCCGAGUCCUUAUUGAUCGAGGUCAUCUCAUUAGCCUUCUCGGCGAAGUGAGGUGUUACAGCUCACUAAGCUCGGCGCAUUGCAAGCCGAGUUAUUUUAUUAUUGGAUACUCUCAAGUGGGAUUUAGAGUUUGGCAUUCAGACGGCCGAACCACGUUCACUAUUAAGACUUAUAUCCGUUUUGAGUAUUUGUGCCCUUACACUUUGGUGUCGAUUCGGCGUGAGUUUACUUUGACGAAUACCAUCACUGUGAUCGAAUCCAACGACGACGAUUCGUGAACUUCGUAAGAAUAGUAGCCUUGUCUUCAGGUUCGAGAACCCAAGAGCCCGAGACGUGUUCCUUCCUCGGUCGCAAUCGCAAGACGCAGAAGUCAGCCGCGCACCUAACGUAACAUCAGCAAAUUUUACUCCUCGACCGAGCUCGGCCGACGCGUUAGCACGCCCCGCAUUCAACCGAAGGACGUAGUUAGCUUUUAGAUUACUCGGCCUGCGCACCACGUAGGCUUGGUAAUUUUUAGGGUCAACAUUUUGGCAUGCCCAUUGGGACCUAGUGCUAAAUUACGAAGUUCAUGCCAAUUGAAACGCGAUUGGUAAAAAAGAAAAUAGCUAUGGGAAAAUCAACAACUGAUUUUCCAAUUCAAAACAUAGGACAAAGUGUGUCACAGGCGCAGAAUCCCCUUAACGCCUUGACACCUGAGUCCACAAGGGCGGCUUGUCAAGAAAGGGAAGUUAAUCUCGACGGCCAGCUUCGCAGUCUCGAAGUCCCUAACAGAAACACCUGUGUUCUCAAUGAAGGGAUAAUUGAAGAUUGUGACGAGGAUGGUGGUGAAGGAUCUGAUCCACCAACAAGAUCGUUUAUAAAAAACGACUUGACGAGCAGUCUCAGACGGUUGAACAGACGCUUAGUCGAGGAAUCGAUAAACUGCAUGACGUGAUACGUAAUACCAAUGAGACACAAACCAGAUUGCUUUAAAUGCUGGUUAGUAAGGUCAGCGACGACAGGUUUUUCGAUCUUUUCCUGCAUUUGCCACCAAGAAAUAAUCUGUCAACAAUUGUACAGGCCGAGUCAAUCCUUACUCGGCUCAAACCAAUAGACUCAGAAAAAAGGAGGAGGAUCGAAUAGUAGGUCAGGUGGAUCCGACCAUAGAGUAGAAGCCACACCCGUUAAUAUGACCGAGGUUUAGCGGAUGAUCGAUUCGGCCAUGAAAAAAGGGCCGAAGUUUCCUAAAUUUAUCCCUCUGUAUCCAACUUAUGUGGAACAGUUCGAAUACCCUAAAGGUUUCAAAAUCCCAGAUUUUAGCCUUUUUGCCAGUGAAUCGUCCCUAUCUUCGUUAGAACAUGUGGCUCGUUUUACCGAGCAAUGCGAAGAUUUUAAUAGUGACUUUCAUAAGCUACGACUGUUUAACUUUUCGUUGACCAGCUCAGCAUUUGCCUGGUAUAUUAACCUCCUUCCUAAUUCCAUCCAAAGUUGGGAGGAGUUGGUCGAGAAAUUUCACGAGCAAUUUUAUCGGCCAGGGAUGGAAAUGUCAGUUUCUUCAUUAGCAAGGAUGGCUCGAGCAUCUGAUGAGUCACCAAUGGAUUAUCUUACCAGAUUCAAAUCGACCAGGAAUUGGUGCCGAGUGCCUCUACCCGAAGUCGAAUUUGUCAGACUCACUCUGAACGGCCUCGAUGUGGAAUACAAAAAGAAAUUAUUGGGGGUAAACUUUCGGGAUAUGUAUGAACUAGCCCAGCAUGUCGAGCAAUAUGAUUAUUUGCUCCGAGAAGAGAAGAUCUCGAAAUCCCCAUCCAGAGGGACGAUAUACAUAAAUCCCACAGUUAGUUAUGCAUCGACCGAAGGCGAAGAGUCUCAGUACAUCAGCAUGGACGCGGCCGACAUAGUAAUAGAUAAACCAUACAUUUGCAAGGUGUUGACUCAAAUUAAUUCCAAGGAUGCCAAAAUUCGCUCAACCACGAAGGGAACAACGAAAACUUCAAAAGUUUACACCUUUGAUAUUACAAAGGCCGAAGCGAUUUUUGAUCAAUUGCUAUCAGCAAAAAUCAUUAAGCUUCGGCCAGGGCACAACAUUCCCACAGCCGAAGAGCUUAAAGGAAAGACAUAUUGUAAAUAUCAUAACUCCACCAAGCAUGCCACAAACAAUUGUGUCGUAUUUCAUGAUGAUAUCCAAAGUUGGAUUAACAAAGGCAAGCUAAAGUUUCCUGAAAACCACAUGACGGAUGAUACGGAUCCAUUCCCUUCAGCAACAGUCAACAUGGUAGACGUCCGCUUGCCCAAAAGCAAAGGAAAAUAGAAGGUUGAAUUUACCCCAGUACAACACAUCUGGAAGCAAAGCUCCCAGCCUCGACUCAAGAUAGAUCUAUUUUCCAAUACGCCACCUAUCGGGCUAUCAGGACUAGCCAUAGUCGAACCAAUGUCGAACUACAACAAUGAAGAAAAUGAUGGGCCAAUAGUACCACAUAUCCUAAAGAAAGGUUCCCAACCUCGACUCAAGAUCGACUUGUUUUCUAAUGCACCACCCACCGAACUCUCAGGACCUGCCAUAGUCGAGUCCAUGUCAGACUCCAGCGAAGAUGGGAAUGGCAGGCCGAUAGUUCUGUGUAGCAAUUGUAAGGCACGCAUUGUAUUGACCGAACCCAAAGGGAAACUAUGUCCGAUACAGAUGCCAACAUUGCAACACCAAUUGGCUAUUACAACAAAACCUUCAAAAGAACCUAGUGAAGCCAGCGCCAGAAAGUAUUCGACAGACUCGGCCCAAGAAAAUAGACAGAUGGACUUACAUCGGUCAGACGGCGCCUUGAUUUAAACGCACCGUUUUACAACGAUGACUAUUAUUCCCGCAAUUCCAGUAGUUCGAGCUCAUCAACAAAUCAAAAAACCUUCAAGCCACCUGAACCACAUGACCAACGUUGGUACAGCUACAAUUCUCCUACCGGCAUGUAUACCACGCUAUCCCACGCUAUCCAAAUCCCAGAAAUGUUGACGUCAGCGCAUAGAUUACUUGGCUCGACGACAAGUUGCCCAGCCUAUCUCAGCCACUAAAUGGCAGCCGAAAGAGACGGUAGGAAGCAGAGAUGAUCGGCCCCAACAAUCAUGGUUGAAUUACAAGGACAGAAGGAAACUAAUCGGGACUUCGAAACUACCAUUGAAGCAGCCAAGAAGUGCAUCAAGCUUCUUCUUCUGCCGAGCUCCCUUUUUCUCUUGACGACCUUCAACACCUUCGAUAUGACUUCGAAGUCUUUUCGGCUGUCUUCUUGUUCGAUUUAACGACCGAUGAGACAAAACGGGUGGCACGUCUGGACGUUUACCUGGACACUAGGAACGCCCGGAUCGCCUAUGAAGAACAUGCUCGCCAAAUACGGCAGGAUCAGAAUCCAACGCCAAAUGCAUGCAAGUCCGAAGACGACAAUCAACAGGAUACAGCGUCGGAUUGUGUGACACAAACGCCUAAAUAUGUGGAGACAUAUAGUGAAUUGGCCGCUAAUGCUCCAACACACAAUGAUAUAGUCAUCCCCACUCUGGAAGAUGACGACCAAGAUCCAAUAGGCCUUUCAGUCCUUGUAAAUAUGGAAAUCAGCAUGGUCCAUGUCCUCCCUGCCGAAUUUCAGUUGACUACAGACUAACCAAGUUCCUUGGACGACGAUGUGGUCGCCGAGGAGAUAACACAGGUUGAUUUCGUCACUACUCCUGAAGACGAGUCAACUAACGGUGAUGAUAAACUUAAAACAGCCUUGGACAUCUUGUUUCCCCGUUCCUCCUCGACUAAUCUUCAACAUUUGAAGCCAUUGUAUGUAACGGCCCAUAUCAAAUGAUAUCCAGUAUCUAAAGUUUUUUUCGACUGUGGAGCCACUGUCAAUAUCAUGCCUGUAAAUAUCAUGAAGGCGUUACGUCGCUCUAACGACGAACUUAUUCCAUCGGGGAUCACCAUGAGCAGUUUCGUCGGAGAUAAAUCCCAAACCAAAUGGGUGCUUCCUUUAGAGGUAAACAUCGCCGGUCGUAAUCACAUGACUGCCUUCUUCAUUGUCGACUCCAAGACUGAGUAUAAUGCACUGCUCUGUCGAGAUUGGAUUCAUCAAACAAGUUGUAUCCCUUCGUCAUUGUAUCAAAUGCUCAUCUUAUAGGACAACAAAUCGAUCAUCGUUCAUCCGGUCGAUAAUCAGCCCUUCGAAGCUAACAUGAUCCAAGCACGGUAUUAUGAUGACCAUGUCGGCUACAUCACCCUACAAGGUUUCAAUGAUGAAGGACGGCCGACUCAGAUUUCUGUUCAGAAGGCUAUCGAGGUUGGCGCCGAAACUAUACACCAGGAUUCGGUGAGACUCGGGUUAGCCGUUUUCAUUCCAGAUCCCGAUGUUUGACACCGAUCUGGAAAAAUGUCGGGCCGCGGUUUCAUCUACUAUGGAACGACUGCUGGCUCAUUGGAAUACUAUAUCUAAACAACCAAAUUCAGGCAUUAACCUCAUAGAGUUCCUCGUCGAAGGAGAUAAUGGUCCUGCCUUGUCUCUCGACCAAAUUCAAGCCGUCCUGGUCGAGCUCGAAGAUAAUCGGCCCCAAGUCAAGGACCCGUUUGAGGAAAUUAAUGUUGGGACGGCCGAUGACCCUCGGCUUUUAUUCAUUAGUGUUUUGCUCCCCCAAUCUAUGAAAGCCAAACUUUGUGUUCUGCUCGAAAAGUUUAAAGAUUGCUUCGCUUGGAGCUACCACAAGAUGCCGGGACUCGAUCUCACUCUCAUCGAGCAUGAGUGACGUAUUAAACCAGGAUGUAAACCUUUCCGUCAACCAUCUCGUCGAUUCUCGACCGAAGUGCAACUCGAAAUCAAGGAUGAACUUGUUCGACUUCUGAAGGCCGGGUUCAUCCGGACAGCUCGAUACGUUGAAUGGUUGGCAAAUAUUGUUCCUGUCUUAAAGAAAAAUGGUACUUUGCACGUUUGUAUCGACUUUAGAAAUCUGAAUCUGGCAACUCCUAAAGAUGAAUACCCAAUGCCGAUUUCAGAUUUGUUAAUCGAUGCUGCAGCAAAUCAUGGGCUCUUAUCUUUUAUGGAUGGACAUGCCGGAUAUAACCAAAUUUUCAUUGCCGAAGCCGACGUCCAUAAGACCGUCUUUCACUGCCCGGGGGCACUCGACACAUACGAAUAGGUUGUCAUGCCAUUCGGCCUCAAGAACGCUGGGGCCACAUACCAACGAGCAAUGAAUACCAUCUUUCAUGAUUUGAUCGGCAUUAUCGUCGAAGUUUACAUUGACUAUGUUGUAAUCAAGUCAAAAAGUUGGCAGACCUAUCUAGAUGAUCUACGAUAGGCCCUCAUCCGCAUGCGCCAGCAUAACCUUAAAAUGAAUCCUGCCAAAUGUGCUUUCGGCGUGUCCGCAGGUAAUUUUUUAGGUUUCCUAGUGCAUCACCGUGGGAUUGAAGUAAAUGAAAAUAAAGCAUGUGCAAUCAUCAAUGCCCCAUCACCGACGACGAAGAAGCAACUAUAGUCCUUGCUCGGCAAGAUAAAUUUUCUCUGCCAAUUCAUAUCAAAUUCGACGGGCAAAAUGAAAACGUUUUCUACGUUGUUAAAACGUAAGGACUCCGACAAAUUUGAGUGGGGUGACAAGCAUCAAGCGACUUUUAUGCAAAUCAAGGUCUCUCUUACAACGCCCCAUGUUCUCGUCCCACCUCGGUGCGGUAAGCCUCUCAAGCUAUAUAUUUUGGUGGCCGAAUAAUCCAUCAGUUGUCUUCUUGUGCAAGAUAACGAAAUCGACCGAGAACAAGCCAUUUUUUACCUUAGUCGAAAUCUCAACCAACUGAAGAUCAAUUAUUUUACCGUCGAGAAGCUUUGCCUCGCUUUAUUUUUUGCCGCAUCAAAGCUUAGGCAUUACAUGCUCCCAUUGGUCACCCAAGUCAUUGCCUAGACCGACGUCAUCCACUACAUGCUCACUCUGCCAAUAGUAAAAGGUCGAAUUGGGAAAUGGAUAAUGUCGCUGUUCGAAUUAAGCUUGCAAUAUGUGCCCCAAAAAGCUGUCAAAGGUCAUGCACUAGCUAAUUUCUUCACCCACCAUCCCUCACCGUAUAGCUUCGGGGGCAACGACACUGAAAUCGGCAUGGUUGAAACGUGCGAUAAUUACUGGACGAUGUACUUUAAUGGCUGGAGUACUUCAUCUUCGGCUGGUGCUGAAAUUGUUAUUCAAUCCCCACACCAUGAUCGGUGGUACUUUUCACUCAAACUUGAUUUUGAUUGCACAAAUAAUCAGGCUGAAUACGAAGCCCUUAUCAUCGGCCUUAUAUCCUUCAUGACUUAUGGGUGACUCAUGCCCUCAUCUUCAGCGACUCUGAACUUGUGAUUAACCAACUUAAUGGUUCUUUUCAGUGCAUGAGUUGUACCCUGGCACCUUACCAUAUAGUUGCUAGUUAUUUGGCCGAAUCCUUCGACGGUAUUACCUUUGAGCAUAUUACCCAGAUUCAUAACACCGACGCGGAUGAAUUGGCUCAAAUCGCCUCCGGUGCACAGGGGCAAGCUAGGCCGAGAAAUACCCGUGUUACGAUGGUUAUACCCGACCUUGGUUAACCAGUAAGUCCUCCGACGCAAUAACGUGAUACGCACAAAAGUCAUGUCUUUACCUUCGUUGUUAGACCGACAAGACCCUAUUGAUACUUGUGCCAUCGAGGUAAUACCAAAUGACUGGUGAAGGCCCAUUAUGCGGUAUCUUGACAACCCCAAUGCCAAACACGAUCGCAAGACAAGAGUUCAUGCCACAAACUAUGUUGUGUAUCAAAACGAGUUAUACCGAAAAGGUAAGGAUGGUUUAUUACUGCUAUGCCUCAGCCCCCAAGAGGUUGCUCAGGCAAUCACAAAGGUCCAUGAAGGGAUUUGCCCGUAGGAAUUAAAGACCCCAGGUUCGGCAAAUGGUUGCCAAAUUGGGAAGGGCCGUUCGUCAUACAUAAGGUUCUAGGCAAAUGCGCAUAUCAUCUUAGAGACCGGACCGGUUUAGUUCACAGAUUACCAAUCAAUGGGAAGUUUUUAAAUAAGUAUUAUCCGAUCACAUGGGAAAUGUGGGAAUAGAAAUUCAUUUCAUUAAGAUUGAUAAAAGAAUACACAUAUUGAGUAGGUCGAUCAGGUUACAUUCAAAUAAAUUCAGGGCGAAGAAGGGAGAAGAGUUUUAAAAACAGCCUUCAGCUCCAGCCAUCUCACUUCGUCCAUUAUGACUUCAGCUUGCCGAUUCCGCUUGUCCAUCUUUAGCUGCUCAACUUCCUUGACUUUAGCCGCGUAUUCGGUUAAACAAGAUUUACCACUCGACUCAAAGUCUUUCGCAAGAUCAGAAGCAAUUGCCGACCUUUGAGUUUGGAGUUCGGCAAUUUGGGGGUCGAUGUCGACCAGUUUCUCUUUCUUCGACUUUAAGGCUCCAAUUUUUGGGCAAAUGGCGUCUCAAGCAACAAUCGCAACCUUCAGGUCAGCUUCGGCAUGGAUAGCUUUUUCAAAAACAACAAAAAACUCUCGGGUUUGCUCCAAGGUAGAAGACAUUUGAGUGAUGGCUUCAGUACUCAAGGGACCUUCAACGGCGAGAUCAUUAAAACACUCACCCACGAAGUCGAGACCCUUGUGUUCAAGAAUUUGUGAAGUUGAAAAAGAAAAGAGUUAUUGUAGCUUAACAAGCACGUUGUAUUCAGCUGUCGAGGAAGGCCCAGCUGUGGUCGCCGAAGGGCCAGCCGCCUCCGAAGUAGUCGAGAAAAGGGCGUCAAAUUCGACUUCCCAUGAAGGCUUCAUGAAAAUCAGUCGUCAAAACAAGCUAAAUCUUCAGAAAAUAAGAAGGCGAAAUGAUAGACCUGCCGAGAAGAGACUUCGGCCAUGUCUGCUGGUUCGUUGCUUGAACCCAGAGAGCUCAAUGGCUAAGCCCAAUGUUUUAAGCUACUUCUCAAUUCACACGGCCGAUGAAGGUUAUCUACAUUUGACGGCCACUGAGGUGGCCAAGAGAUAUAGAUAACGACCCUCGGCGCAUAAAUUUUUUGGUGAAAUGAAAACGCGGGCACCUGACAUUUAAUAUUUUUCUGGUUUAGAAUUCUUAGGCAGGCGAUUGAGUAAGAGAAUAAUAAUAAGGGUGCUUACGUAGGUAGAAGUGGCUUCCUGUGGAGGGAUGCCUAGGUUUUGAUCUUGUGGAUGAAUUGGCGUCUCCGCCAUUGCUUCAAUUUCAACGGCAAGACCCUUUCCAUGAUCGACCGCAGGAGGAUCAACCUGGCCGAUCGUUUCGACCGCAGGAAAAUGGUUGGUUGGUCGAGGAUGAAUUUCCAGCGGAAUUUCAUCACUCUUGUCAUCCUGGAAUAAAGUUUGUUAGAAAUCCUAACAUUAAUUGAAAAAGAAAAUUAUCAACCGCAUAAUUAUACCUCCAAGAUGAUCGUUGAUUGUCUUGCAAUCUUGGAGGGUGUUUUCUUCGUCGCCGAAGUCAUUUUCUCUAAGACAGGGGCAACGAUUGGCUCCAAAGCUAUCAGUUUCUCGACCAGUGGAGAAAUGGUUGGUUCGGCCGAUGGUGGAGGAGUCGCUGGCUCGACUAGUGGAGCAGUCCUUGGCUCGAUCACGACUUGAGGGUCAGGACGAGCUUUGGGCGCCUGACCUGUCGGAGCCGGCUGCACGACCGUCGGGAUACGUACGACUGGGUUGAAAGGAGAAGCAUCGGGAGUUGUUGUGCCUGUCAUUUGGCUAGAGAUGACAUGAAUUUCUCAUUGCCCUUUGUUUGCCAAUUUUUUGACGCUUUUUGUAGGACGAGGAAGUGUGGUGGCCGUCUCAGUCUCAUAUCGGGGUCGUUUGCUCGGCUUGGAAGAGGGGAUUACCUUUUUCUUAGCUGAAAUUGCAGCCACCGCUUCUACCUUUUUCGAUGCUCGGCUGCCUGAGAAAUUAAAGCUAAGUCAAUAACAAUAAGGAUAUAUAUAUCUAAAUAUAUAAAGGAAGUUAUAUACCAUGGGUAGCUACUUUAGGUUGGGGAGCAGGAGCCUUGUGGGGACAAUCGCCGAAGGCAUCGAUGCUAAACGAUUCUGGAGUGACCUGUCGAAGGUGGAAUUUUUGGCAUCAUUCCUGGAACUUCUUUUUCGUGUCCUUGCAUUCCUUAUCUGAAGAACCAGGUUCGCGUCCACAGCUUAGGACGGAUCGUGAGAAGAGAAAGGGGACCAGGCAACCUUUGAGGUAGCCAAGCUACCGAGCGAGGAAGUUGGGAUGAUACACUUCCUAACCCGCUCGGCGACCAUCACAACCUAGAGGCAGGUCGCGGGUAAGCACGAAAGACCCCCAGGUUUGAUGAAGGUCACCAUCUUCAUCUGCGCCCCACGCUGAUGUAAGAAACCUGAUCGACGAAGGGUAUUCUCGACGACAACAGAUCAAGAACUCGUCGUUAGAAAGGUCGUCGAGAGUGAAAAAGUAUCUGAACACCUCUUCAGCUUGGUGAUGGGGUGUUGGCCGAGAAGCUAGCUGAGGGCUGAGCGCUUCCGUGGGCGAGAAAUCAACAAUCGUUCGCCGAUAAGGGACAAAGAAGACCUGCAGCCAAAGUUGGAAGACCCAAAACGAACCAUUCUGGUGCGGGUCGACCUUAUCUAAGGUCGUCUCGGCCAAGCAGCGUAGGAGAUGGGCGAGAAUGGUCGGGCUGAGUGACAGAGUAUAACCGCUAGCUGGGGCUUUGGCCACUGACAUGUUCUCAACCAGACACUUAUUGGAUUUGGUACAACAGAUAAAUUUGUUAUACCAAUAGAAAAGGAAAGCCUCCAGUUCCCCUUCUCGCAGAGCCUCUUCUCCUCGACCGGUAAAAUGGAGAUAAAUGGUGUUAUAGUUAAGGAAGUUCUUGUGAAGUUUUUGAACCUCUUCUUUCAAGGGUGCUUUGCCUUUACUGCUUAGCAUCUCAAGGGCCCGUUUGUCGAAAAGCGCCUUCAGGUCAAGGUUCGACGGGUACCCAGAGAGGGCGACGUCAAUUGGGAUUCCAGUCGGGGAAGUCCCCAAGAUGGCAGUAAUGUUAAGAAUGGUGGGACCAAUGGGGCCGAGAGGGAAGACCAUAGUGUUGGUGGCUGAACACCAGAAACAUAAGGUUGCUAGGAGGAGCUCCUUAUCCAGGACAACUUCCAUGGAUGAAAGGUGAAUGGCCUCGUAGAUGCCUAGGGCUUUCCAUUGCUCGCCGAAGAGUUUUUCCAUUCAUACGACCCAAGCUGCCCAGGCUGUAGUGGUCGAGGGCCAUGAACCUUGAGGCCUUGUCAAGUCUCACUUCGACUAUUCAAACCCUUACAGCAAGGGUGAUAGGCAGUGCUUCUUGAGAAGUCCAGUGAUGGUUGGUGGUACCACCGCUUUGAAGAGAGGACCAAGGAUUUGAUGAGGGGUGCUCGUGUCACUUUCAAAACGUAUGGUUUUGAUCGAACUUCGAUCAAUAAUUUUCUGGCAUUGGUCACAUUCCUUGGAAAGCUUGGAAAUGAAGAAGGCCAUUGUAAGUGGGUUGAAGAUGCGACAUGAGAGGAGUUUUCUAGGUUGGGGGUUUGAAGAUGAAUAUCUGGAAGAAUGGGAUUCACUGGAGAGUGAUGGCAAGAAAUUUCAGAGAAUUUGAAAGCGUAAAGUACAAAUGAGAGAACUUUGGUAUUUAUAGAAUUGUGGAAGGAAGGGUAAUUGUUUGAAAUUCAAAAUGAAGGGUAAAAUCGAUCGAAGAAUUCACUAAUCAUUAUGAACAUUCAGAUAAUCCAGUUGAGAAGACCGGUUUCGUGUUUUAUGGGGCGUACGAUUGCGUGUGGCGGCCAGAUUUAUGGUGAAAGACGUUUUGACGUCUGCACGAUGUUGAAUGGUUCGCGGAUCAAGGUGGCAUGGUUGUGUUCAGCAACAAGGUCAUGAUGGUAAGAUGGUUCAGUGAGCCUUACGCUUUAAACGUCAUUAUUAGGGAUUAGCCGUGUUAAAGAAUGCCACGUGGUGUAUUGGUCAGCAGGAUCAAGAUCGUGCAAUCGUACUCCAUAAAUGCGCCUUGGAAAUAGAGUAUUUGGAUUCUGAGUAUUAGUUUCGCUUCUUCAAGGUCAAAGCUCGACCAGAGAAUUUAGGUCGAAAACCUCAGAAGCGAGGGGGCAAUGUUUGGGCCCAAAAUAUUUAGUUUGGGCCGAGUGUGGAAUCAUUCUCGGCCCGGAAUAAUUUAUUGUUAGGGGUCGUCUUGUUUAUGGGCCACUUAAUUAGAGUUGGUCGAGCCCCAUUAGGAAAAUAAGCGGCCUGGAUAAGGAAGAGGCGUGGGAAAUUCUGCGGUUAACAAAAAUCCUGGUGUGAUAAGGAGUCCCGGUGAGAUGAGGAGGUCGAGACACAUUUUGAAUAUGGCCUGGUAGAAAGGUUAGGUUCAAAAUCCUGAUGGGAGUAGGAGUGUUAGAGAUGGUGUUUGACUUAAAGAAGAAGCCCUAAUCCGAGUAGGGUUUAACUACUUGGAUUAACUCUACUUAGGAAGUAUUUGAUACUAUAAAUAGAGGAGGUUAUGCAUUGUUCAAGCUUCUUCCAAUUCAACACACAACUGCCCUGCGCAAACUCUCUCAACAACUUUGAGAUUUUUAUUUUCUCUUUUCGCUGACACAUCUUCCGUUGGCAUCAACAGCACUGUGAAAGCAACCGGUGAUAUCUUCAGUCGGCAUAGAUAGCUCUGUCGCCGUAGAAUCAGCCGAUCUCGCAGCAUCUUUCGUGGCAUCAACAGCACUGCGGCGAUGGCAGUUGGUUACCUAUCCAAGUCUCGGUCGAGAAGGAUUUCUGAGUCCUUAUUAAUCGAGGUCAUCUCAUUAGCUUUCUCGGCGAAGUGAGGUGUUACAGCUUACUAAGCUCGGCGCAUUGCACACCGAGUUAUUUUAUAAUUGGAUACUCUCAAGUGGGAUUUAGAGUUCGGCAUUCAGACGGCCGAACCACGUUCACUAUUAAGACUUAUAUCCGGUUUGAGUAUUUGUGCCUUUACACUUUGGUGUUGAUUCGGUGUAUGUUUACUUUAACGAAUACCAUCACUGUGACUGAAUCCAACGACGACGAUUCAUGAACUUCGUAAGAAUAGUAGCCUUGUCUUCAGGUUCGAGAACCCAAGAGGCCGAGACGUGUUCCUUCCUUGGUUGCAAUCGCAAGACGCAGAAGUCAGCCACGCACCCAACGCAACAUCAACAAAUUUUACUCCUCAGCCAAGCUCGGCCAACGAGUUGGCACACCCUGCAUUCAACCGAAUGACGUAUUUAGCUUAUAGAUUACUCGACCUGCGCACCACGUAGGCUUGGUAAUUUUUAGGGUCAACAAGUUCAUAUGCAGACUACUUUCCUUUUCGGACUGUAGACCCUUUAUAUGUACAUAGUCGAGCUCAAACAGUACCACAUCAUGUUAUAUUCUGCCGUUAAAGAAAAAUUAAAUUAAGGAAAAUUAAAAUGGUAUAUAGUAUUGUCCAAUCUAAAACGGUGAAGAUAUGAUGGUCCUUGCAGUUUAGAUAAGGUUUCACUUUACUCCAUGUAUUUUAAGUUUCACAACGUAACCUUUUUAAUUAUUAUUGUUGUCUGAACAAACUAUUAGUCUGUAGUAUCAUUUUUUAGUGGUGACUUUAUGUGGUAUCGCUCUUCAUAUGACUGUGUUCUCGCUCAUCAGCGAAGAUCAGUGUGUGCACUGGUAUAGGUUUGUCUCGUCCAUCGUUUUUGGGACAUUGUAUUGGUUCACCUGUACUUGUAGUGGCCGUGUAUGAGUUUUUAAUUAAUUGCUUAUUUGUACAAAUUCACUGCAGAUCAAUGUAUUGGUCACUGGAGCAAUGUACUCAAUUGACACCCUUGUAUUUGUUUGUGAUGAUGAAUGGCAUAUUGCUAUUGUUUCUUGUAAAAAAAAAUUGAAAAAGGACAUAUAUAUAUACACCUUAAUUUCAUUAAAAAACUUCUACACAAUUAGCGUGUGAGUGACACCAAAGGUAAAUUAGACGUUUGCAAGGUGUACAUCUCUCAUUUCAGAGCACUAGAGAUGGCGACUCAAUGAGAAGAUUUCAAAACAAGGGAGAUGGUGAUGUCGUUAACGGCACUGCAAAACAUGGAUAGAAGGCUACGGACAGAUGGUGAUAUCUAGUUUUGUCAACAAAAUCGAUGCUUUUUCGUCUUCUCCUCCUCUAUUUAAUUUCUCGUUACACGUAAAGUUACUAGAUAAUAUCCUAUUUGUUUUCUUAGAAGAAUUCAAAGAAAGGAAAACUAACGAAAAAUUCAAAAAAAUUUAUUUUUUUAACGAAAAAGCCUUUUUUAAAUGUAUAGUGAAUAGUGUCAGUUGAAGGUAAAAAUGUGGUUUUUCAUUAAAAGUGAACAAUAUCGAAGUAUUUUGUUAAAACUCCCUUCAAAGAAUUGAAAUAGGCCAAACAAUUCGUUUUUGCAGUCAACAAAACAAUGCCAACGAAGAAAAAAUUAAGGGAUUCCAUCAAAUAUUUUUAAUGUUUAAUUUGAUUUUGUUUUUAUGUUGAUUUAUAAAAGUCUUUUUGUUUUCUUAAGUAAUUAACUGUAAGGGUAAAAUUCUCAUUUUAUGAUAGAUUUUUUAUCAAAUGAGUUUAUACGAAAGUGAAUUAAAAAACAAUGUUAGGUAGAUCACAUUUAGUGUACCACAUGAUGUGACAAGUGAUUUGUACAUAUCAUGUCAAUUAAUAAGUACAUAGUCUAAUCUAGCAUUAUUCGUGAAUUAAAACUUUAAGAGAUUCUAGUGCAAUUUUUAUAAGACAACAAAUUUCAGGAUUGUUAGUGAAACUAAAAUAAUAACAGUAAUAUCAAAGAAUGGUGGUUAAAAGUUGGCCAAUGUGGAGCUGAGCUGCCACCCCUCUACUUGAAGACUGUUAGUUCAAAGAAUGGCGAAUGGAGGUUGGUUCCACACUUUCCACGUACCCAGUCGAAGAGAAUUGUGUUGAAUGACUGUCACCUUUUGAAUGAAACUUCAGCUUUAUUUAAUAACAAAAUCAACGUACACAGCAAUAAACAAACUGAAAAAGGAAAAAGAUUAUAGCAUAGCACAAGGAGUCCAGGACAACUUGCAUAUUCAGAAAGCCUUGAGCAAAAGAUCACAGUACAAUAUCGUAUCCAGAAAUUAGAAAGCCAAGUUAUAUGCAGGAGAUCGUAGGGAGGAAAGACAGAUUGCUACUAUGGUGGUGGGUUUGGGAAUAGAAGUAAUGGUGGCAUUGGUGGGGCUCUGGGCAGUCUGUUUGCGGCCAUUUCUAUUUGCAUUUGCAGGAGAGAUGGUGGAUGUCAUGAAGUUCCAUGUACGCGAGCUAAUUAGGAGACGUACCCGUAGGCGCUCUCUUUCAUCCUUCCAAUAGUCACAGUCGGGCGAUAUAACAAGCGCUGAUGCUCACCAGAAAAAGUGGACUUCUGGCGGACUUCAGCAACUCAUCAAGUGAAUAAAUAAGGGAUGUCCUUUUAGCUGCUCUAUAAUCCCCAUUCUCUUCAACAUUUUUCACUUAUAUUGUAUCGAAGAGGAAUUGGCCAAUGAAUUGAUAACAUGAUAUACACGAGGGUGUAAUUUUUGCAAUGUUUGGAUUUAAUUAAGGAACAACGUAGUAGUUUUGACAUGUAUUGUGCUUGUACAGUAUAUGGAUAUAUGCAUUGUUAAUUAGUUAAUUUUAUUGCGAGGUUUUAUUUAACAUGAGUAGUUUUCAGCGCCCAUGAGAUUAGAACGGAACUUCUUCGCAUGGCUAGCUCAGAAUCCCAAUCCCAGUAUUGCCAUUUCUGGUUUGACUUGUUAUUGAUUAAUUGUGUUGUCAUGAGAGGUUUCCCUUUAGGUAUUUUGAUAAGAGAAUUGAAUUAUUGACUUGUCAUUUAGCUUUAAUUUUUGGGUUAUUUACACAAUUUAUAGAAAGACAUUCUAUAACUCCAACUAAUUUAAUUGUCAUACAAAGUUCAAACACCAUACAUUUAUAUAGUUGGGUUUUUUUUCUUUCUAUAAUUCAAUUUUUUUUCUUGAAUUUCAACCUCAAAUAGAGUGGUUAUUAAUAAGAGUGGUAUUCUUAAUUGGAUUAUUUUUAUAGGCAGACGUCAUUAAUCCUUGAAUAUGAUCAAUUUCCGUUGGAGUUGCUCAUAAACCACCUUAAAUGUGUUUAAAAAGUUGGCCUGGCAUGAGUUUUCUAAAAUAUCUCAAAAUUUGAGGAAUUUGUCAGCGAUGCAAUCUGAGCGGGCCGCAAGUUAACAAGACUGCAGAUACUCUCUCUGUCUCUGUCUCUCCAUACUCGGUCUAUCCACCACGCACCCCAACCCCCAUUCCCAAUCAACUAUCAAUCCCCACUUCCUUGACUCGUACAUAAGUCUCAUCUAGAUUCUCUUUUGAGGUCGACCAGGAUAGCACUUUGACUACCGAACAUUCAGAGCCUGUAUUCUUCCAACGAUAGAAUUAAUAAUAUGAAUUCGGUCGUUUGAUGCCUCUCGUAUUAAAUAGCACCGAACUAUAUAACCGGUCCCACAAUAUCGUCCAAAAGACGUGUAUUAUUAUUCGGCCGUCUUCUCUUUCCUCUCUCGUGAACUCGGCUGCCCAUCUGAAUUGAAGAUUUGGUAUGCCGUUCUUCCUUUUGCUCUCCAACCCAACAACAACUCUCUAGCUUUGAUAGUGUUUUAUAUGGUUUGUAUGUUUGAUUGAUUUGUGAGGAAGGAUAUGCAAACGAAAUGAAGAAUUAUCACAGAGAGAAUUUCAGAGAAAUGACAACUAACAGGCUGUACAUUGCAGCGGCUCCCAACAAAAAAAACUAUUAACUUUCGACAAGAAAAAAAAACAAAAAAAACAAAAACAAAAAAACAAAAACCAAAAAGCUAUUAACUCUUUUGGACAAACACAAUCUCAGCCUUACAUUGAGGCUUUUAAUCUAGACCCUACAUUUGUCGCUUGACUAUUCAUCACCAUCAUCAUCACAACAACAACAGCUAGCAACAAAAAGCUAACAACUCUUUUGAACAUACACAAUCUCAGCCUUUAUUGAGGCUCUUAAUCUAGACCCUACAUCUAUCACUUAACUAUUCAACACUACAACAACAACAAUGACUAUUCGACACCACAACUAGCAACAAAAUGCUAACAACUCUUUUGGACAAACACAAUCUCAACCUUACAUUGAGGCUCUUAAUCUAGACCCUACAUCUGUCACUUAACUAUUCGACACAACGACAACAACAAAAUACUAAUUGUUAGAUUAUAAAUGAGAAAAACUAGCCGUAUGACUCUUGUAGCUGCUGAUUCUUCUUCUUUUAGGAAUCCAUAAACCAUUUAAGUUCCAACACUCAUUUCUAAAUUCUUUAUGGUUUUGACUCCAAACUGAUCUCUGAGGUAGGUGAAUCUUUCCUUUGGCAGUGUCUUAGUAGCCAAUUGGUUUCAUUUCUGCAAUAUAGUAACUCAAUGAUAUUCUCCUGCAAUGCAUCUCUAAUGAAGUGAUACUUCCUUUAAUGUGUCUUGUCUUCUGAUGAAACACAUGAUUCUUAGUCAUUGCUAUGGCUGAGGUACAAUCACACAUCAAUGGUGUUGGAUCGACUUGCAGCUCACCAAAAUUCUUGAGAACAAACUUUAACCAGAUUGCCUGUGAUGUUGCUUCUAUAACACUUAAAUACUCAACUUCUUGUGGACAGUGCAACAUUUUGUUGCUUGACUGAGACCCAAGAGAAUGUACUAGAACCAAAACUAAAUGCAUAAGCUGAUGUGCUCUUCAUGUUACCUUCAAUUUCUCCUCAGUCACUAUCAUAUAAGCCAACUAGAAUUGCAAACCGGCCUUUUUCAUAUCUGAUUCCAAAAUCAAGUGUUCAUUGCACAUACCAUUUUACUGUGGAGACUUGAAUCAACUAGUUCGCUACCAUUAUCAUUUUUUAGUUUCUCAAUUGCAAUCAGAGGGGUACUCACUAGUUUACACCUAUUGGGGCCAAAUUUUUCCAACAAUGUUUUAGCAUACUUCUUCUGAUGAAUGAAGAUGUUGUGGAUUCUUGCACAACUCCAAGUCCCAGAAAAUAAUGUAGAUGCACCAAAUAUGUCGUCUUAUACUUCUUCAUCAUUUCUUCCUUGAAUUCAUUUACCAUUUUCUCACAGUUUCUUGUGCCACAUCAUCAACAUAGAUUGAUUAAAUGAGUGUAUUUGAUCUAUUUUUUGUCGUGGUAUAGGGUGUUGUCCAUUAGGAUUCUUCUUGAAGUCGCACUUAGUGAAAGGAGAGUCAAUUUCACUAUACCAAGCUUUUGAAGCUUGUUUCAAGCCAUAGAGUGCUUUCUUGAGUUUGUAGACCUUGCUUUCAGGAUUUUCAACUUCAAAACCUUGUGGUUGGUUCACAUACACUUCAUCUUCUAGAACACCAUUUAGAAAAGUUGAUUUCACAUUCAAUUGAUAGAAAUUCCAGAUUUUUUGUGCAACCAAUGCAAUUAGUGUCCUAAUGGUACUCAACUUUGUCACAGGUGCAAAUGUCUCAUCAAAGUUGAUUUUAGGCUUUUGUGAGUAACCUUUAGCCUCUAACCUUGCUUUGUUCUUCUACAUAGAUCCAUCCAAAUUCAACUUGGCCUUAUAGACCUAUUUUCCACCAAUCACUGGUUUAUCACUUGGUAUGUCAACUAAAUCCCAAGUUUCAUUCUUCUUUAUUAUUAAAUCUAUUCUUUUAUAACUUUCUACCAUGCUUUGUCUUUCUCUGCUUCCUAGAAGGUCUUCGUUUCAAGCACAUUGUAAUUGCAAAUAGCAUAGAUGUUCAAACUACUUAUUCUGAUCAUUAGAGUUGAACUUGGGCUUAAGCUUUGUGGUUCUUCAAUCUAAGGGCUUAAUCUUGUAGAUUAAGGAGUUUAAAGUGGAGUACUAGUUCUCACAUCUUCAUCACUUUCAUUUGUUCCAUUCUUGUUAGCUACCAACUCACUCAGUUCAACUUAGAGAGAAAUUUUUGUCAUGUUCUUCUGCAUUUAUCUCCCAAUUCCACAAUGCCUCUUCAUCAAAGAUCAGAUCUCUUGAAAAAUUAUCUUUUGUGUUUUCAUGUUGAAUAACCUAUCACCUUUCUCACUGAUUCCAUACCGCACAAGUAUACAUUUUUUGUUGGAUUCCUACAACUUGUGUCUUAAUUGCGAUAGCACAUGAGCAUAGCACACUGAGCCAAAAAUUCUCAGAUGCUUAAUGACAUAGUUUUAACCAUUGUAUACUUCAAAUGGAGUUAAAUUGUCCACAGCUUUAGUGGGACAUCUAUUCAAGAGAUACACUGCAGUUUUAAUAGCUUCUCCCAAAAAUAGAUAAGGCAUUUUUUUUCUCAUGUGAUAUAGACUUAAUUAGCCAUCUCAACUAUAAUCAUGUUCUUCCUUUCUGCAAUAUCAUUUUGUUGUGGUGAAUAUGCAAUUGUGAGUUUCUUUUCUAGGCCCAAAUCUUCAUAAAAUGUAUUGAAUUUCACUUUAGGUAUAUUCAAUGUCCCUAUCACUACCUUAUCUUCUUAAUUUGGUGUCCACUUUGCAGCUCCACCAUUGCUUCAAACUUCUUGAAAAUGUUGAAUACUUUUGACUUAACUAUCAUGAAAUACACACAACACAUCCUAGAGUAGUCAUCAAUGAAAAUUAGGAAGUAUUUGUUCCCACUAACUGUUGUAAUCUGAACUAAUUCUAGUGGUUUUGAAGCUCACCAUGCCUUUCUUGCCUCAAGUAUAUAUCUAUGAUGUUUUCCAAAUACACAUGAUUCACAAGUUUCACUGCAGUCUUUCAUUUGAGGCAGACCUUGAACUAUUGCAUAUUUUUGCAAAUUCUUCAAACCCUGCUUAUUGAAUGGCCAAUCUUUGGUGCCAUAGAUUUCCAAACUAAACCACAUUUGCCUUUCUUGCCAUCUCUUCAAAGUACCUCAAGAGUAGUAAGAAAUUUUUGUUCUUCACUUCAACUUUUGUAACCAAGUUUGGCAGUGAUCUAUAAUCAAAUAUUUCAACCAUUUUACCACCAAAUCAUAGAAAAUAUCAAUGCUCCAUCAUUUGACCAACACUAAGCAAAUUCUCAUCUAAUCCAAGCACAAUGAUUACUUCUUUUAUAUGUUUCCUCUUCUUUUGGUGUCAACGAUGAGAGUACCUCUGCAACUGCUUUUACAUGUUUUUGGAGACAAAAACUUUCCGAGUUUAUCCCUACAUCAAUUACAAUUCAAAUGCCAAUAUACAUGUUACAAGCAAUAAAACAUAUUUGCAUUUAAUUCCUAUAUUAACAUACAAAAUGCAAUAAUGGAUUCUACUUAGGUAAAAUAUUAAAUGUGUCACACAAGCUUAAUUAGGUAAAAAAUGCUUACUUGGAUUCUACUUAUCGGGUUUUAGUAACAAAAAUAAAUUAUGUCAGGUUUUAAUUAAAAAAAAUUGAAUUUCAAGAAAUAAAGUCAUAUUCAAAUAAAAAAACUAAUAACUAUCUAUUUAUAAAUAUAUUGUUGUGGCCUAUUUUAUCUGACAAGGGGAAGGGGGCCGGCGGCAAAGAGAAAAGAGAGAGAGAGAUAUGUUUGUAGAAUUGUGUAGAGGAAUAUGUGUGUUAUUCCCCCUACAUAGUGCCUUUAUUUAUAGUAAUAAGAGGUAGAAGAAAUCCUUCAUCCCUAAGGAAUACAAGUCUAUAUAGGAAAAAAUAACUAGAAUCAAAUCUAAUCUAGGAUUUACACAAUCACACUUAAACUAGAAAGUUUACAACGCUCCCCCUUAAGUCUGUAAAUACUCAAGGUAGAUUCGGCAUCAUGUGGAAAUUGAGGAAGUCGACUCGUCUACACUGAUUAUGGGAACCCGCUAUUCUCAAUAGGGUAGGAACUUGCAUAAGGAAGUAAGUCUUACUAAAGAAAACCCUAUGGCUAUGGUAAAAACCUAAGAAUGGACAAAACUCAUAGUCUAAGGAAAAAUGCGUUGAGUAAUGCAAAGUCAAAUGAAACGUUUACGAGAUGUCAUCAGGGAUAUGAUCAACCCAAGGUGGGUGCCUUGUUAAAACCUAGUUAGGUAGCAAAAACCCAACGGGAAAAAUGCUCCUAAUCCUAGGGAAAAAGUGUACAUUAUGAUCAAACAAGUACUCUUCAGGAUACUCCCCUCAGUUUGACACAAUUCCAAAGAGAACUAGCAAUGUUACAACUUAGAAAGUUUACGCAUACCAAUUCCAUGAACAAGCUCCUGAAACGUCCCCUUUGGUAGUGAUUUGGUGAAGAGGUCGGCCAGAUUGUCUUGUGAACGGAUUUGCUUAACUUCAAUCUUCUGAUGCUCUUGUUGUUGAUAUAAGAAUAAGAACUUUGGCGCAAUGUGUUUGGUGUUCUUGGUGUUGUCUUCUUUGAUGUAACCCUUCUUGAGCUGUUUGAUGCAUGUUGUGUUGUCUUCAUAGAUCGUCGUUGGGACAUCAACGAAGAGGUAAAGAUCACAGGAGAUUCGAAUAUGGCCAACAAAUGCUCUCAACCAAAAGCAUUCCCGAGUUGCUUUAUGUAAGGUGAGAAUUUCAGCAUUGUUAAACAAAGUGGCAACUAAGGUCUAUUUAGUUGACCUCCAAAAGAUUGUGGUGCCUUCAACGGUAAAGACAUGACCUUAAGAGCGCACCUUGUGCGAAUCAGAUAAGUAUCCUAUAUCGGCAUAACCAACAAGGCAAGAAUCCACUUGAGAUAAGAAUGGUGCAACAUCACUCAAGGAUCCAUAUGGAUAGAACAAGCCCAAAUCCGUUGUACCCCUUAAGGUAGCGGAAAAUGUCUUUAACACCAAUCCAGUGUAUGCAUGUUGGUGCAUUACUAUAUCUUGCCAAAAGAUUAACAACGAAGGAGAUGUCGGGUCUAUUGCAUUAAGCUAAGUACAAUAAAGCGCCUAUCGUACUUAGAUAAGGAACUUUAGGCCCCAAAAUCUCUUCAUCGUCCUCUUUCGGACAAAAGGGAUCUCGUUUUACAUCUAGCGAUCGAAUGACUAUAAGAGUACUCGAAGGCUUCGCUUUAUCCUAGUUAAAGUGGCACAACACCUUCUGGGUGUAGUUCGUUUGAUGUACUAAGAUUUCAUCUGAACAAUCAUUUAUCUCAAAACCAAGACAGUAUCGAGUCUUUCCUAGAUCUUUCAUCUCAAAUUUCGACUUCAGGUGUGCGGCAGUUCUCGGGAGCUCUUCAAAAGUUCCGAUAAGAUUCAUGUCAUUGACAUAUGCUACAACAAUCGUAAAACCGGAAUGUAACUACUUAAUGAACACAUAAGGGCAUAGUUCGUUGUUCAUAUAUCCCUGACUAGUCAAAUACUCACUUAGACGGUUAUACCAUAUUCUUCCGGAUUGCUUCAAAUCGUAGAGUAAACACUUCAACCAAAUUGAGAGCGUGUUUUGGGGUCUGGAAAUAUUUGAUCUAGUCAAUGUAAGUCAUUUGGGAACUUUCAUGUUUCAUGUAAAUUUUCGUAUCAAGAUCCCCAUAGAGAUACGCAGUUACUAAGUCCAUCAGCUUCAUACUCAAUUUUUCAGAAACUACCAAACUAAUAAGGUAGCGAAAAGUAAUCACAACCAUAACGGGUGAAUAAGUUUCAUCAUAGUCAAUCCAAGGGCAUUGUGAGAAGCCUUGCGCAACAAGACGAGCUUUGUAACAUACAAUUUCGUUCUUCUCAUAACACAUCUGAACAAAAACCCAUUUGAAGCCAACAAGCUACACAUGUGGAAGAGUAUGAGCUACAGGUCCAAACACCUUACGUUUUGCAAGUGAAUCGAGUUUGACUUGGAUUGCUUGUUUCCAGUUUGAUUGGAUUGCUUGUUUCCAGUUUGACCAAUAGGUUUUACGUCAACAUUCAUUAACGGAACGGGGUUCAAUGUCAUCGCUCAACAUGAUCUUAGUAGCUACUGCAUAUGCUAAUGAAUCGUCGAUGAUCAUCUCAUUUCUACACCACACAUCAUCUAAGCUAGCAUAAUAAACCGAAAUAUCACGAUUCUCGGAGGUGGAUUCGUCUCUUUAAGGAUGCUUCCGUAAUCUAGAAUUUCCUCAUGAGUUGGAUAGAAUGAGUAAGCGAUAGUCGAAUUCACGGUAGGCUCUUUAGGUGUCUGUGUCAUGGGUUUCCUAUUCCAAGGAUGUGAAUCAUUUGAAUCAAGAGGUCUAUCAUGCUUAUGUGUAGGGGUAAAUGAUCAGUUAGCCGCUAAUGUACGUGGAUCAGCCAAAAUGGCGUCCCGGGCCUCUAAGAGGGAAGCAUGUCGUACAUUUGGUACAUCCAUCUUUGCAAGCACAUUCGCAGCUAGAAUAUGUGAUCCUGUCACUCGCACUAUAUCGGUGAAAGCAUCUAGCAUGCUCUGAGCUAUGCUCUGGAGAUCUAAUAUGUGAUGCACUUCAGUUUCAGACAGAACGGUGUGGGGAUCUAAAUGAGACAAAGUGGGAGUCGUCCACGAUAAUUUGCGUCGUUCUUCAAGAACGUUGACGUUCUUAUCUCCCUUUACCGAUUGGAAAACUGUCUCAUAGAAAUGACCAUCCACGAAACGAGCGGUAAACAAAGUGCCUGUCAAAGCUUCUAAGUAACGAAUGAUAAAAAAAGAAUCAUAUUCGACAUAGAUUCCCAUCCUUCGCUGAGGACCCAGUUUUAUAUGUAAAGGUGGCGAAAUCGGCACAUAGAUCGUACAACCAAAAACGCGCAUAUGCGAUAUGUCGGGUUUGUAUCCAAUAACUAAUUGAAGGGUGCUAUAUGGUUGGGUCGCAACAAGCCUCAUGAAGACCAACAUGGCUAUGUGCAAUAUUGCAUUGCCCCGAGCAGCGAUCGGGAGAUUGGUACGUAUGACCAACGAUCGAGCAAUCAUUUAUAAGCGCUUAAUGAAUGCCUCUAGCAGGCCUUUUUGGGUGUGAUGUUCAACUUCAACCACAACCGUCAUGCAAUAGUCAUCAAAAAUUUUAGAUGUGAAUUCUUCAGCAUUAUCCAAUCAAAUAAGUUUGAUCAGAUAAUCAGGGUGGUGAGCCCUGAUCUUUAUAACCUGAGCCAACAGCUUGGAGAAUGCAGCAUUUCUUGUGGACAACAAGCAUACGUGUGACCAACGUGUUAAGGCAUUAACCAAAAUCAUAAAAUAUCUAAAUGUUUCGUAUAAAGGGUGAAUCGGUCCACAAAUGUCCCCCUGAAUCCUUAGUAGUAAAAUAGGAGGAUUCGAACGAAUCUUGUUUAAGAAGGCUUAGUAAUAAGCUUUCCCAUUGAACAUGUUUGACAUGCGAUUCCUUGAAUUGAUCCUAAACUUCGGGUUAGGGGAUGCUCGUGUGAUGAUUUUAGGAUACGGCGCAUCCUUAUUUGUCCAAAGUGUCCCAAACGAUCAUGCCAAAGUGUAAUUUUAUGCGCAGCCCCAAAGGUAAGGCCAACCACAUAAUGGUUCUCUAUGGGGCGUAUGGUCGUAAUAUAUAGACCAUUCAGGAUACGCUACAUCUUUUCUAGAUACGCUUCUGGCCAUAUUCGUAGGAAGUUAUGCAUAAAAAUUCAACUUCGUUUUCUACAUAGGUUUUAGUGUGGUAAUUAUUAUCUUUAAGCCUUGUUUGGCAACUCGGAUUCUACUGACUAUUUCUGUCGAAUAGGAUAAAUAGCCAUUGGAUAGUACUGACUAAAUUAGUCGGGCGUUUGGUGUAGUAUCAGACUAAGGACCAUAUUAUGUAUACUAUGUUUGGUACUGAACUGGAUAAGAAAAGGGAAGAGGGAUUUUACUGAGCUUCUACUGAGAUGGGCCUGGUCGCAUGGCUGAGAUGCUCCCACAAAAAAAAAGGGAUUCUGAGCAUCCGCAGAUGCUACUAAUUUGCUAAGAGUCAUUGCAUGUACAAUAACAAGGAAUGCAUUUUAAGGGCUUCAAGUUUGUAAUCAGAUGGAUUAGAAGAACCCAGAACAUAGUAUUGAGAAAUAAAGGUCAAGGAGAUGAAGCAAGUCAAUAAGGUCAAGGAGGACGAAGCCCAAAACCCGUGCCAUCGAAAAUUAAGGUCCAGGAGGACGGAGGCGCGAUUGAUGACCUUGUUUAAUCCGAGUCGGAGGUGAAUUAGACAACGCAGCUCAUGGAUUCUCCGAUUGAGACUCAAAUUUGAGGUCUUGUUAGUUUAUGGUUUUUGGUUCAGGGCAAGGAGGAAGGAAAAUGACGUGAGAGAUGAUGGAGCAGGGAGCGAAGCGAGGAGGACAAAGCAAGUUCUUAGGUAGUCCCGUGGUAUGCAGGGGGCCUCAUCUGGAGAGAACAAAGCAGAGAGACCGUCUAGAGAGGACCGUGUGUCUGGAGAUGAAUGAAAGAGUGUUUGGAGCGGAAGAAGAGAACCCGACUAAAUUGUACCAUGGUUUUGGAUGGUACAAGCAAGCAGGUGUAUACCUAAUAAAGUUAGUGGGCCCGGAUUAUUUAAUCUGGUGGUUAUUUAAUACAAACGGACACCAAACACCGUAUUUCGUAUUAUUAGUACUAUCUGAUGUUUUAUACAGUGUGCCAAACGAGGCCUUAAUGUCCUUGAAACUUAACAACGUUCUUCCGGAACGCGGAGAGUAAAGUGCCUUAUCAAUGGUCAAAAUUGUACCAUUGGACAACAUUAUAUGUGUCUUACUGUAUCCUUCAAUCAGGUUGGAUGGGCCUGAUAGGGUUAUCAGAGGUACAUUCUUAGGUAUGAAGUUAGUGAAAUAGAUGUGUUCAUGCAAAAUGGUAUGCGUUGUUGCACUAUCUGCCAGACAACUAACUUUCUCACUAGUCAUACCUAGAGUGAAAAAUUAAUUUGAAUCGGUCACAUGCAUAAAAGUUCUAAAAACAAAUAUCCAUUCAAAAUAAUUUUAACUAUUCAAGGAUGGAAAUUAAUUAAAAACUUAAUAUCCAAAAAAUAAAUCACCAACAAAUAAUCCAAAUAUAAAGGGAAAUUGUUCAAAAUUAAACAAAAACACAAGAAGGAUUCGGCCCCUAGGUGGAAUUCGGCCCCAAUGUCUAAAUUUCAACUAGAAAAAUAGUUAUGUCUAAGAUUCUAAUCUUCCAUAGAGGUAACGGCCUCUUGAAAGUCAGAAACCUCCAUCUUGGCAUUCUCCUGUUCGUCCACUUGCACAAAGUUUGAUUCAAAUUUCUUACGACGAGAAUGAUAUUUAGCUACAACCUUCUAGGGAGCUCGGCAAAUACGGGACCAGUGGUCUUUGGAACCAUAACGAUAGCACAUAUCCGCAUCCAUGGUUUCAGGUGCUUAGCCCUUAUUCUUAAAGUUUAGGACCUUAAGAGCGAAGUUGGGGCGUUUUUGGGCUUUGUUUCCUCCCUUAGAUGGGCCUUGGCUCGGUUGACCUUGUCGAGGUGGCUUCUGGCUGCCCCUACCAUGCCUCUUUUGGCGUUUCAGGCGUUGGUUCGUGCUAUAAUGUGUUUUAGGCACAACAGUCGCCUCAGUAAGUCUAGCGUGAUCAUUCUUCAUCAGCAGCUGAUUCUGCUUUUCAGCGAGAAGUAAAACAAAGAUCGAAUCCGAAAACUUAGUGAAGUUCUUAGCUCUAUAUUGUUGUUACAGGACAAUAUUAGUAGCAAAGAAGGUCAAAUAGAUAUUAUCCAGGAGAUCCUGUUCGGUCAAAGUUUUGUUACAAAACUUGAGAAGUGAUCAGAUUCGACAAACUUCAGAAUUAUAUUCAUUCAUAGACUUAAAGUCUUAGAAGCGCAAAUGCUGCCAGUCAUGUCUUGCUUCAGGCAAGAAGAUGUCCUUUUGGUGAUCAAAACCAUCAGCCAAAGCGACCCAUAGUGUUUGUGGAUCCUCCUUAGCAAAGUACUCGGUUUGCAAUGCGUCAUAAUUAUGUCUUCAGAUGAAGAUCAUGGCAGUGGCUUUCUCAGUUUCGCCAACCGGGUUGUUCAUCUAAUCUUCAAUGACGGGACGCAAAUUCUUUGCAGUGAGGUGGCUUCACAUCUUGGACCCACUUAAUGUAGUUCCUUCUAGAGACCUCCAAAGCGGUGAAGUCGAGUUUGUUCAAAUUCGACAUGUUCCUAUCACAAAAUAAAGGACAAGAUGUGAUUAGUGUAAUGGAGAAAGAAAUCAAUCCAUUCACAUAGGAGUAGAACAUUUAGGUUCUAAUAGACAUGUAUUGGUUAAAAUUCGCAUGAAAAAGCUUCGGGUUUUCAUCGGUGAUAUUUUUAAGGAAAACUUCAGGUUUUCAAACAAGGCAUGUUUAUAGAAACUUCAAGUUUUGAAAUAAUUAUGAACUUCAGGUUCAUUUGUUCCUGCAGACAAACACAAAUAUAUAUACAGAAAUAUGCAAUAAGAAAAUAUGCAAAUAGAACUUUAGAUCUAUAAUUAUAAUUGAAUUAAUUAUUUAGACUUCAGGCCAAAUUUAAAGUGUGGGUGAAACCAUUGGGCCUAAAAUAAUUAGGCAAUUAAACUUGGGGCCCAAAAAACUUGGACCAAAGCCCUCAGGUGGGCUGAGUAAAUCUAGUGUCGUGAGGUCCAAGCCUUAAAUUGGGUUGGGGUAGGCAUAGGCCUAGCUUCACAGAAAACGGGCUGUAAGUGCAAGCCCAAAAACAAAGGCCCAUACGAUCUCUGAUCUGAUGCUUCACAAACACAUGUACCCAUAGGGGACGCAAUCAUGUGCGUUGCGGUACAUGGCAGCCAUAAUAACCACACGGGCUGUGAUCCUCUGUGGUGCGAGACAGAGGAACACCGUGGCCUAGGAAGGCUGGUGUUUUAGGCCGAGGAGAGCUCUAAAGCCCAACGGGCUGGUGCUCACCAAGAACGGGCCAAGCCCACGUAGGCUUAGGUUUUGAACUAAACACCCCAACAUGCACUGGGUGAACUUCGUCGGAGAAGACGAUCGGCGCCACCGCUUCAAACAGUCGUGUCUAGGUGCAAUAAUCACGGCAAAAAACUGUGGGUUCGACGGCAACCCAUAAAAGUAAACGGAGAGUGGAGACUCUCAAAGUUUGUGUUAGAAACCCUAGGAAAAUUAAUCAAAAUUUCGAAGAAAAUUUGAUGAGAUUCAAAACGAAUCUCAGCCAAAAAAUCGUCGGGGAGGGGGAAGAUGAUCUGCAGGUCGUCAAGACGAGGACCCAAGAUUAGGAUUGGGUUAUAGGCCCAUCUGCGAGGGAAUGUGACGCCAUGGAUGAUGUCGGGUGUGUUCUGGGUUUCAAACCAGAAGCCCAUGGCUCCGGCAUAUGGUCUCGUGGAUCGGCGCAGAUCGGCCAUACAGGUUGCAGGCCUGGGCAAGUGGCUCGAGUUGCAGCUCAAGGUCAUGGGUUUGAAGAACCCUAGUGUGUUCCGAUUUCUGUUUUUUCUUUUCUUUUCUUUUCCUUUUUUCAAUUAAUUCAAAGCAUAUAUAAUUUGAAUGAAUGAACAUAUAUUUGAUGCAAUUCAUGGCAAUAUCAAAUUCACAUAGUUUAACAAUUAUGAAUAUAAUGCAUACACAAUUUAUGUAGAAUCUAAAAUUCGAAAAACAUAAAGUUGGGUCAUGCAUUAUGGUGAAAGUUCAUGCUAUCACAGUUGCAAAAAUAUUGAGAUAAAACUGUUGUUAUGGAAGAACCUGAUUGCGUGAUGAUAUGGAUGAACUGGUUUGAUGCAGAAAGCUUCCACGUCAAAUUCCUAAGCGCAACGGUAGGAGUGUGCUAAUAAUGUGUUGUGGCCUAUUUUAUCUGACAAGGGGAAGGGGGCCGGCGGCAAAGAGAGAAGAGAGAUAUGUGUUUGUAGAAUUGUGUAGAGGAAUGUGUGUGUUAUUCCCCCCCUACGUAGUGCCUUUAUUUAUAGUAAUAAGAGGGAGAAGAAAUCCUUCAUCCCUAAAGAAUACAAGUCCAUAGAGGAAUGAAUAACUAGAAUAAAAUCUAAUCUAGGAUUUACACAAUCACACUUAAACUUUCUAGUUUACAACAUAUAAUUAAUUAUAGAGAAAAACACUAAUAACAAAAAAAAAAAGCAAUCUGUAACCUUAGCAGAAUAACCAAUCCUAAAACGAAUAAAAAUACACUAGCGUAUCAGAAGGAGAUUGUGCUUGUACGUAGUUUCCGGCACCACCACCCAAUAGCUGCAUGCUUUUAUUGUGGAAAGCGUUGUAUAUCGUCCGUCAGGCGACUGACUUUUUAUAGAGUGAAGAUGGUACCAAUAUAUAUAUACACACACGUUUUAUCAUGGUCACACCAAGAAAUUACUUGUUCACAUCUUGUUUUGUGUCACUUAGUUGAUGAUUGAGUUUUGUAAUUAGUACUUUCGCCUUUACGCUAAAUGAUUGAGUUUUGUAAUUAGUACUUUCGCCUUUACGCUAAAUGCAAUCUAUAUAACUAUAUAAGUACAAAUUCUACAAAGAAACCAUACAAGUUACAAGCUCAAAGGACCAUAUAAUGUUAUGUAAUUUAUCUACAUAUUAUGUAACUUAUCUACUAAAUAAUGAUAGAUAUUGUUUUGCCCAUCAAUAAUCCACAAUGAACAAGAGAUGAAUGCUCAAGUCUCCCCACACAAAAGUCCUCUCGUCUCCUCCUUAGUUGAUUUUGCGGCAGUCUUUUCUUACUUCUCCUUUCGAACCUUCCUUGACAUCGAGGGUGCUCAUUUUCACCAUCGCCUGUUGAAAAUCUAAGAAGAACAUAGCUUGGUUGAAGGCAUAACCGUUUACAAUGUUUCUAGUUCUCGCACUGGCAAAUAGGGUUUGAUCAGAACUCAGGACUCCAGCCUUCCUUUGCAGUCCGUUGAAGUAGACAUUAUCAAAAAUGUUUCUCGUUGCAUCGAAGGGUUGCUCCGCGUUAUCGCCUGCGCUGCAUGUUUUGGCCAGUUGCUUUGCAAAGCCUGAAUCUAAAUUUGGAUCCACAGUACCACUCAAUCGGUUUUUGAAUGAGGAGCACCUGGCUACUCCUAGUGUGUGAGCACCUACAAAGUACAAAAAUAUCAAUGUAAGCAUGCAAGCAUUAAACUUAAAAUGUUCUCUAAUAUGACAAUCCGACCGUCAAUUGGGUAGGAGUUGAAGGACAUUAUUUGAAAAAGUAACAUUUUAAAUAAUCCAAAAAAUAAAAAAUAAGGGCACUAAUUGACAGAAUAACAGUAGAACAUAUCAAGAAAAUAAUACCGAAAUUUGUAGAUUGUAAAUUGGAGCAGAUAUGUGUACCAGAUAAAGCAACCAUUUCUUGCUCAGUAAAUCCAUGUUGCCCAAACAUUGUGAUGAGCUCAGAGGCAUUCAAGGUGGGUGGAGGCAGAUUUCUUGUGUCUUCUAUUUUAGACCUACUUCCAUCCUUUCUUCCUUUGGGUAUGUCAUAUACCGGACCCCCAGACUGUUGUUAUAAUGUCCCAUUAAAACAAAACUUAAGUUGAAUCAUUUCUCAAAAGACAAAUUAAUAAUAAAAUAAUAAUAAAGAAUGAACCAAAAAUUUAAUUUUCGAGUAUGCAUGAAUAACAUAGGGCAAUUGAUGAAUGAGAGAGGUGACUUCCACACAUCAUUUUUCUCUCUAUACACUUUUCUUUUAGUAUUUGAAUUGAAUAAAUCCAAAGAGAAUCAAGAAACAUUAUAAUAACAGUGUGUAAAAAAGGAAAUAAACGUGCAAAAAUAAUUUCUCGAACUUACCGCAUAAACUGCAUAAGUAGAAGCCAUUGCAACUAUGUCGGCGCAAGAGACAACACCAGGGCAUUGUUCUUCAAGUUCCUCUUUUGCAUCAUCUAUAACCUCAUAGCCACGCAAGCUCAAAUUUGCUGGGGAGUCCUUCUCAGCCUUGUUAUCUUUUGUUGAAUCCAGGAGAAUUGACGCAUCACAUCCCUAAUUAUCCAAUAGUUACAAAAUUCUAUUUUAAUUAAUAAUUGAAUAUAUGUAGUGAUCGAAUCCAUAACAAAAUUUCUUUAACUUGAAUACUUGACCAUACACAAGGGAAGAAAUUUUUUAUUUUUUUUAUUUGGGUGGGUGUGUAACGUGUGAUGAUAUGCCGAUUGGAAAGUGAUAAUAUGUGAAUGACAAGGGAAGGAGUGAAGAUAUGUAACACAUCGCACUUAUUACAAAAAAAAAAUGAGGGCCUUUUUUAUAAUCAUUUUGUUUUCUAAUUUUAACUAAAAGUAAAAGGAAAAUGUAUUAGCUACAUUUCAUGUGAAUUUCAUCUUAUCCAUUUUCUUUAAUAUAUUUCCCAGUAUCUCUAACAAAAAACCACAAACUCAAAACAAAAUCGUGUUAAACAUCUUAAGAUACUAAAUGGAAGGACAUAUUUGAAAAUAGGAACUUUAACGAAAAGCUUCCAGUGUUGUUCAUUUUAACGAAAAACCAUAUUUUUACACUAAAAAGUCAAUCUUAGUACUAUUCACCUUACCCUUUAUUUUGUCCUUAUCGUUAAAACUCAAAAUUUUCAAACCAUUUUCAUUAGUUUUCCUUUGAAAAUAUUUGGUAAAAGCAACUGAAAACACAAACAUGAAAGCAAGUACAUAUAUGUAUGCAUUAUUUUUAUACGAUGCAAAUACCAUGCAAACAUAUUUAAUUGCUGAACAAUACUUGGCUACUCAAAAAUAAGUAGGAACUCCUACUCAAAAUUUUUUCAAAAUUGUUCGUUGUCAAUUUAUAGAAUUUCGUGUUUAUAAUCAGUACCAUUUAUAUUAUAAAUCAACUUAUAAAAAUCGCCUCUGCAAAAAAUCAAUUAAAACUAAGGUCGUUUGGUCAUCAAACUAUUUAAAAACAAAUGAACGAUAUUGGUAAAAACAUUACAAACCGUCUACGUAUUUGCUACAAUAGAUUGAUUAAACGACCUUAGUUUUUAUUUAUUUUUUGCAGAAAUGAUCUUUACAAUGUGAUUCAUAAUAUGAACAGUUAUGAUCAUAAACACAAAGCUUUGUGAUUAAAACACUAGGAAUUUUGAGUAUAAGUUCCUACUCAUCUUUGAGUAACCAAGUAUUGGUCUUAACACCAAGCCUAUUGUUGUGCCUACCUCUAAUGAAAAAACUAUCUCAAAAAAUUUUAAAUAAUGAGAAAGGAGGUAUUUGUGUUGUGUGUAUAGAGAGAGAGAGAGAGAGAGAGAGAGAGAGCACCUCUAUGAAGCAGUCAUGGAAGUGCAUUCUGAUAAGACCUGCUGCUAAAGUUGGAUCGGCUUGCAAGGCUCUGGUGACUGUAUUUCUGACAAUAAGUUCAGCCAUCGGGCAGCUCAUAAUGUAAUAGCCCAUACUCAAACCAUUUGCUCGAAAUGGGAAGCCACUAAUCAUUUGCAUUAGUAGAAACACUACAAACAGCUUAGCAAUAACCAUCUUCGAUGAUUCUAGAGGGAAGAUCUUGAAUUCAAAUAGUAGUGAGAGGUAGUAGUACUAACUAGCAAGAUUAUAAUAGAAUGCUCAAGAAAAGAGGAGUAAUUGUUAGAAUAAAGAGUGGAGGUAAAGUGCUUUUAUAAUGAUUAAACAAAAGUUGCCGGCCCAAACUUGAAGGAAAAAGAAAAGUUAUAGACGACAAUGGUUUAUCAUCAAUUUUAAUUAAAUUAUCAAAAAUGUCAUUAUCACUAUCUAUUUAUACCACUAUUUGUAUCAUCUUUUUAAUGAAAAUAAGAUCGACAUGUCUUGGUAGGCUUUACCUCUUUUAGAAAAAAUGGUACAAAUAAUAGUAUAAAUCAAUGAUAAGUGUAGCACUACUUAAAUUCUAAUUUAUAAGGAGGUAUAUGAAGUCAGGUGUAAAGAAAUAAGCACUCUGCUAGGAACUUUAACGAAAAGCUCCCGAUAUUGUUUACUUUAACGAAAAACCACAUUUUUACACUAAAAAGUCAAUCCUAGUACUAUUCACUUUACCCUUUAUUUUGUCAUUGUCGUUAAAACUCAAAGUUUUCAAGCUAUUUUCAUUAGUUUUCCUUUAAUUUAACUUAUAUUUGCAAAGUUACCACCCCAAUCUUAAUUAGAUGAAAAAGAAAGUUGAAGAUAGACAGUGGUUUAUGAUCAAUUGUGCACCUAAUGGUCAAUACAAUACAAAAAAAAUUAAUAUAAUUAAUGGAUGCUAAUUGGAAAUAGUUCGACACGUGAAUAAUGCACCAUGGGGCACUAAACCAUAUUGGAGCCAAAUGAUGCAUGCAAGUAGUUUCCACAGUGAAAUCGAAAGACGAUUAAGAUAUCGAUCACACAACAAAUUGAAAUGCGAUUAAUUAAUAAUGAUAUCUAAUAACAUAUUAGAUUAAUCAUAAGAGUUGCGUUGAAGUUUUGCAUGGAUAUAAUUGGAUUAUUAUAACUGAGUGGUGGGCACGGAAGUCAAAUGACAAAACGAAAGUGGGGAUAGUGAAGUGUAUGCACUAUUUAUACCACGACCAGAAAAACAUGUAGAGGCAUAUAUAUAUAUAUAUAUGUUGCUCAGCUGGCCUCCAUUGCAAAGGAGCCUACCUACUCUCAGUGUCCAUAUCUUUUUGCGAGAAGUGGGGGGGAGACUUAUUUGGCCAAAGAAGAUAUCAAUUUAUGCGUGCAGGUCAGCAGGAUAACAUCAGUGUCAUACAUAUGUUUAAUUUCAUUUGGUUGUGGUAUCAUAUUCUAUACGUACAUGUGUGGAGAUGGGGACAUGCUUUUACUUCAAGGAAGUGAUAUGUGUUGGACACUUGAGGAUAUUUACAAAUGGAAAACUGAUCUACCAAGAAGCCAGGUUGCCUCCAAACAAAUGUUAAGUAUCCACAUGUAGGCUUUCUGUCAGUAAUAAAUCCAGCCUAGUCAUCCUCAGUUAUACCCUUCCUCAUCAAGAUUAUAAUGCUUAGUGAACAUUAAUCUCUUUCCAAGAGAAAAGUUCAUAGUGAGCAAAGUUCAAGUGGCUCAUUACUCAUAGUACAAAAUAUGAAUUACAACAAUCAUAUAUGAUCUUCAGUUUGUGACUUACUACAAUUAAAAUAUAGUUAAUAUAUGGUCAAGUAAGCAAUAAAUAAGUUCCAAAAAUUUUUAGGUAUAGCUUUCUAUUGGUGUUUGAGCAAUAAUAAAAAUAAGAUCUGUUAUGGGGACAAACUAUUGUUAUUUACGCAAAAUUCGCACAACUCCGGCCUACCAACUUCGAAACCCAAUUGAAAUCCUACUACAGGGCUCAGAUGACCACCACACUCCAUCAACCCAUCCAAGGGUUCGAACAUGAUUUUUAUCGAGGCGCAUCUGCCACAAAGACGACAAGACUCGAGAAUAUCUCGCCUUUUUAAAUGACGAUGUACGUGUCAUCGGACACACUGACAUCACCACUGUGAUCCUGGGAACCGCCACAAGACAUAGCUAAAGGCCACUUAACUAGGAAUUAUAGUUUUUAUUAAUGCCAAAUGACCGAUCUACCACUACUCCAGCUUAAUGAUAUGAUCGAGGUUGCUCUUUCCUUAUUGUCAGAUACCUUCAAGCUCAAGACCUUCUUCAAAUUCAAUCUCUAUGAUGUACAAAACCUUGAGUGAUUCUUUAAUCAACCCAACUGCUUUUCAGCACAAACUCAAUUACUUUUCAACAAAACCCUUUAGCUCUUCAGCUACAAUCUUAAAGUCUUGUUUCUAAACAAACACAGCCUAAGAUCCCUGAGAUCUAAAAUUUUCAGUUCUGUCACCCCGUGGUAUGAUUUGGUUGACAUGUCAUUCCAACCGCCUUAAUUCUCUCAUAGGCAUGUGUUUUUUACUAAGUCCAAUCUGAUACCAGUGAUCUCAGUGGACUCAUGUAGCAUUAGCUUGUCCUUCAUGGCCUAAAUCCUGCUAGUCUUAAUGCCUUCUUUACAUGUCCAGUCAAUUUACAUUUCAAGUCAUGUAGCUCGACCCAUCAACCUAAUUUUACUUUUGAAAACGUCUAUAAUCUCGACUUCAACAUGAUAUAUUACUUUGUGUUUUUCGCUUUAGUUUCUAUUUCGCUUUCAUUUACUUUUUAGGAAAGCAUACACAAAGUUACACUGAAUUUUAAGUCCUUGUUCACUCAAGAUACGUACAAACUUAACCGAGUCAGCAUCUCACUCGGAGCACUAUUGUUGGGUAUACGCGCAACUUUCACACACAUUCAAAUGCAAACACUAUAUGUUGGCAGACUCCAACUGGCACGGCUAUUUUCUCUUUCUCUCGAGCCAUCACAUGGCGCCAAGAUUAAAAGCAAUACUCGAGACAAAUACGUGUUGAACAUAGUCCAGACUUUGUUCGCUUAGCUUGUGAUUUUGUAUAAUAGGUGUAUGAACACAUUUGCAGCAAACAUUCAUGUCUCACAUAAAAAACUCUAAUACAUACUUUGAAAAUGAAAAAUCACUUAAAAUCAUUGUCUGUAACAAUCAUAUAUCAUCCAUAUACUGAAUUAAGAUGUAACUUUACUAUUCUUAUGCUUUAGAAAAGAAAAAAGCCAUUGUCUAAGUCACUUUAAAAAUAAAUAUUAUUAAUUAAUAAGGAAAGGGGGAGAAUUCGAAACUGCAACAUUAAUAUUUAGAAAGGAGAGAGUUUCGAACCAAGAAUGCAUAAGUAGAAACCAACACCCUAAACGAGGACUAUUUCAACCAGGAUGGUCGCUUCUAAUUGCAUACCUUUUCCAAUUCUUAGGAUUUUUUUCAUGGAUGUAUUCUUCCCAUCGAAUUUUUGCAAGGGCCAAUCAAGGUAAUAAGUAUAGCUAGAGGUAGAAUUACAUGAAUGGUAUUAAUAUUGGCAUAUGCCAUCUGGUGCCAGAAGUCUCCUAGUUAAUAUAAAGUCAACUUCAUAGGCCGGCUUGGUAGUUGGUAUAUAUGCCCCUUUUUCUGCUAACAUAACUCGAUAAAUUCGUAGGCCGGCUUGGUAGUUGGUAUAUAUGCCCCUUUUUUGAAUUCCUAUCUGCCUUUAACAUAACUCGAUAAAUUCAUCCACAUCCAACUGUACCCUUCUUACCUUAUGUAUAAGUAAUUACUACAAUAUACGCACCGAUCAAAGAAUUAAACUGCUAAACAAAUAUUCAGAAAUUCAUGAACAAAGAUUGAUUGUGUCACGGGCAUUUAUUUCUAAUUGAAAAAUUUGUAAUACAUACAAGUAUACAACUAAAAAGAAUGCGAAGUACAAUUACAUGUCAAUUAGCAAGCGCUUAGCUUCAGCUUUUGGUGUCUGUUACCAAGAAAUAAAGAAUUAAACAAUGUGGAAAUAAUAAUUAAAAUCUUUGUAUACCAUAUUAACUUUAUUGCAAUAUGAAUUAACUAAAGUAAUCAAGGAUCAUCAGUUCAUGUUCUGAUGAUAACUUCACUAAGUAGCGUGAGUCGUAAUUAUAAACGGUAUGGAGUUUUGGGACGCUGCAUGGAACGCUUUUCGUUCUCAAUCUCUAUCAGGCUGUUGAUUACAAUAUCUGCAGCAGUUGUUACAACAUCUGCCAUGUUCCUAUAAAACCCAAAAGAAACCGCAAGUAAGGAAAGCUAGUAAGAAAAUCAAAAGUGAUCGACUGUUGAAGCAUUUCCUGAUGUACUUUUUCGUCUAUACAUCGUUGGCCUACCUAUUACAGUGCUGCUGGCCUAAUCUACAUGUAAGUUGUCAAUAGAUGAUUAGUUGUUUGAUUACCAGUUCAGUUUUAGUUUUUAAAAACAUAAAAACUGAAACCUAAAAGUCAAUUUUGAAAACUUAAGAGUUGUUUGAUACCCAUUUCAUUUUUUUGUUUUUCGUUUUAGUUUUCAUUUUUUUUAAAUUGAAAACUUAUUUGGUAACUAUUUUCAGUUUUCAAUUCUCAAAAUAAAAAAGAAUAAAAACUAAAAAACAAAAGCCAAAAUUUGAAAACUCAAUAAAGUAGCUUCACUUUUUUAUUUUUAGUUUUCAUUUUUUAUCUAAAAGUUAAAAAUAGUAACCAAACGAGUUUUGAGUUUCCUUUUUUUUUAAAAAAAAAGUGAAAACAAAAGCUAAAAAACUUGUUUGGUAACAACUUUCAAGGCUGUUUAAUAACCAUUGUUUUUAUUUUUUUUGAAAACUGAAAACCUAUUUGGAAACUACUUUCAAUGUCCAAUUUUUAAAAAAAUUGAAACAAAAAACAUAAAGCCAAAUAUUGAAAAUUCAAUAAAGUAAUUUUCACUUUUUUGUUUAUCAUUUUUUUUUUUAAAUUGAAAGUAUUCGUACCAAAUUGGUUUUUAGUUUUCAAUUAAAAAAAGUGAAAAUAAAAACUGAAAACGAGUUAUCAAACGGCUCUUCAGUGAAAAAAUGAAAAUGAAAAUUCAAAAAUUGAAAACAAUUUUCUUGAUUUUUAAUAUUUGGUUUUCAAUUUUCAAUUUUUAUUUGUUUGAAACUGAAAGUAAAAAACAAACGAGUUUUUUGUUUUGAUGAAAAAAAAAAACUAAAAACUAAAAGCAAAAUGGUUAUAUGGACCUAUACGGCACAAAUUAAUUAAUUUUUUUCAAAAUAUUAUAAGUAUUGCUGCUCUAUAUAAACCUAAAAGGAAAGAAAGAACAUAGAUUGACAAAAAAUGAAAAAAGAAUAUAGAUUCAUCGAUCUUACCCUUUUGACGAGCUGUAUGUCAACCCUACGGUGUUCCUAGCCUCUUCAAGAGCCAACCUAAAACUUUGUAGCUUCUCCGGCGGACAUUGCCCAUUGUCCACGACACAAAGCUGAGAGGGCUUAAUGUCACAGAAUAUAGGAAUGACCUUCUUAUUGGACUCCAUGAUUAGGGCCAGUUCAUGAAGGCAAAAGUAGGAGUCACAAUAAUUAGGCGAAAACACAGCAACACCAACCUUACAACCCCUUAUUGCGCCAUCAAUUUUAUCAAACAGUUUAUCUCCAGGUCUCAUGGUCCUGUUAUCUAAGAAAGGGCGCAAGUUGAGUAGAGAAAGAUGGUCGUAAAGCAAAGAGACGAUUGUUCUCUUCGUGUCGAUUCCUCUAUGGUUAAGAAACACAUCGCAAGAUUUCGUAGCCUGUUCGGCCAAUUGGGUUUGCUUUUGGUAGCUGAAAAGAUUGUGUUUCAAGCUAAUGGCUGCUGAACGAUGCAUGGUUUUUUGUAUGGAACCCUAGUUUUGUUUUUCUGCCUUGUUCUUUAAUUAAUUGUCUGUUGAAUAAUGAGACUUUUGGUGCAUGCCAGAUGUGCUUUGAUUUGCACGGCUUUAAAUAGAGCCUUGAAGCCUCUAUUUUCCAAGUUAUUUCUUUGAAUGGAAUGUGUUCCUGUUCAAAAUUUGACCAUCCCAGUUGAAUUUUGGAAAUAAACUAAUGAAAACCCUUCAAACACGUUGAAGGUCCCUCUCUGUGUGAAGCUGCCUUCACUGUAAUACACAUAUAACAUGCAUUGGGACAGCUCCUGGACAAAUUUAAAAGUUAAUGUUCUCUUUUUUCCACCAAAUUAAUGUUGAGGUCCAAACAUAAUAUAAAAUGCACGUGGGAAACUUAUUCAGCGAAUUUCAUUGUCAGUUCUUUCUUGUUUGAAGUCUGCAGAAAUUCAAAGUAAAUUCUUGUUUUUAUACUUCAAUUCAUAUUAAUAUUACCAUACAGGGAACAAACUAACAUAUUGCUUUAUUGAAAGUUUUACAAACCAUGAAAGGGUUUCUUUGACUGUUUGAACGAUAUACUUGGUCGCAAAUUAUAAUAAGGUCUCCUCCUACGCACAUAUAUUUAAAUGCUAAUAAGUUAUUAAUUCAUUACAGCGAUAAUAACUUGUUUAGACUAUUCUACAAAAUUUCUCAUAAUCUAAAUUGAAAAUAUGACUUUAACCCCUCAAAUUCAAUUUUUUUAAUAUUUAAAACCCGAUAUAAUUUUUUUACUAAAACUAGGAUCCACCUAAUUGAAUUCAUUAAUUACAUAUUACUUUACACAUUUUAUAUUUUUUUAGAUGCCUAAAAUACCCCUAUUGCAUAUUUGAUGUGCACAAUUAAUUCUAUGCAGAUUGUAAGGAGAGAGUUAAUGAUUUUGCAAAAAGAAAAAUAAGACAUUAAUGUUAAAAAAUUCAUAUAUAUAUAUAUAUAUAUUUACAAAAAAAAAAAAAAACCUAAUAUAUGUAAUAAUACAUAAAAAAGUAAUUUACCUACCAUGUACAAAAAUGUUAUUUGAUUCAAAAUGUGUGUAUAUAUAUAUAUGUGCGUGUGUGUGUGUGUGUGUGUGUGUGUGUGUGUGUGUUUAUGUAUUUAUAUAAUUAGACCAUAUUAAUUUACCUACCUACUAUUUGAAAUGUUCGUUUUCAAUUGCAAAAUAUUGUAUACCAACAACAAAAUAUUGCAUAAACUUAGGAAUUGGAUCAUGCUUUUGAUUUUAUCUUUUACCUACAAACAAGCAUAUACAUAUUACUUUAUAUAUUUUUACCAAAAAAACGUCCCUAAUAGGCUGAUAUAUGUAAUAAUACAUGAAAAAUAAUUAACUUACCAUGUAUACAAAAAUGUUAUUUGAUUCAAAACAUAUAAUCUAGGUUUUCUCAAAAAAAAAAAAAAAAAAAAAUAUAUAUAUAUAUAUAUAUAUAUAUAUAAUCUAGGUGUAGUAUAUAUAUAUUUUUAUAUAAUUGGAACAAAUUAAUUUACCUACCUACAAAUUAAUUUCCAAUAAUUUACCUACAAAAAAUUAUACCCUGUGUGUAAUAUAAUAUAUUUUUUUCACCAAUACAUGGAGAAUAAUUUACCCAUAACAAGAAGAAAUAUAAUUUGAUGUAUUAUAUUGAAAAAUAUUAUGUCAUACCUAUAUUUAUACAACAAUAAAACGUGCCUAAUAUAUGUAACAAUACAUGAAAAAUAAUUUACCUACAAGUUAGAGAAGUGUUAUUUGAUUCAAAAUAUAUAACACGAAUUUAGUAUAAUUUUUUUUAAUAAUUGGAACAAAGUAAUUUACUUCCCAAUUAAAGCAAUAUAUAUCACAAAAAAAGUAAAUUUUUGGUAUGAUAUGGAUAUAAUUAAUGCAAUACAACAGUUUAUAUAUUUUAAUUUGGAAUAAAUUUAGGGAUUUGGGAAAGUGGCAUGGGUGUAAAUAAAUUGUAUUAGUAGGUCAAUAGUGUUCCGAUGUGGCUGCAGAUUUUAAAUUUGGGCUUUUAUUAGACGUUUAUAUGUAGAUGGGUUUUUAUCUAGGAAUCAUGAAAUGUAAGGGACAAAAUCUAAAGCACCCUAAUCUAAAUGCUUCAUUGUUUAAUAAGGAAAACUAAUGAAUAGGGCUUCAAAUCUUUGAAUUUUAAUCAAAAACCAUCCACUUGUUGUAGGCAUAAUCUACUUAAACAAUUAUGGAGGCCAGAAAGAGAGAGAGGGUGCGGGAGAGAGAAGAGAGAGAUGUGUAAUUGUGAGGUAUGUUCUAUUCCACCCCAUUGUGCCUUUAUUUAUAGCAAUAGGAUAGGUAAAAUCCUUACCCUUUUAGGAUGAUUACAACUCUUAAUAGGUAAUUAACCUCUAAUAGGAAUGUAAAGAGAUAUUCCUAGAUCUACUAGGAUUUAAACAAUCACAUUCCUAAUCUAAUAGGACUACAACACUACCCCUUGAGUGUGUAAAUACUCAAAUAAAUGGCGCAUCAGGUCUUCAGCGAUGAAGUAAGUACAAUUGAUGAAGUCGAAUGCGAGUCUCAAAUCAACGGAAUAAUGCAUAAAAAGGUAAAACUCACAAAAUCUUGCUAUGGUAAAACCCAAGGUGGGAUAAAAACCUAGACUAAGGAGAAAAGUGAGAAGUUACAUUAAGUCAAAACUAUACGUGUAACUUACAUGGGGAAGUCAAUAGUGUAACUUAUACCGAUCCCAAAUUUUUUUUUUUUUUUGGUUUUUUAUUUCCCUUUUAAGUUUUUAUUAUUUGUGUUUUUCCAUUUUCAUAACACCAUACUAAUAUGGAUUUGGAUCCUCUCCUGAGCAAAGGGUCCGAAUCUUGCUGACCAAGCAACACGGACCGUUGGAAAUCCAAUGAUUACAAUUAUUAUAACUUUUAGAGGAUCCUCUGUUUAUAACCGUUGGAUCAACAUGUUGAUUGGUCAACAGGAUCCGAGGAUCCAAAUCCUACUGAUACAUGCUCACACACAGUGGUGUGAAUUUUUUUUUUUUUUUUUUUUUUUUUCAAAUUGAAGGAGAGAGGAAGGGAGUGGGAGAGAACAUGAGAGUGGGAGUGAGGAGAGAGGGAGAGAGGUUUAAUUUAUUUUUUUAAUUUUUUAAAUAGAGAUGUUAAAAUCACCUGUAGGUGAUGCUUAAACAAAAAAUUGAAAAUUUUUAUUUUGUGAAAUUACAUUAUUGUCCUUAACUUUUUUGUUUUUCCAUUCCACAAAAUGUACUUUUUGGUGAAAAAUAUUAAGAAAUUAUUAUUAGCACUCCAAAAUCUUAUUUUGCUCUCCAAACUUUAUAUAAUUAGAAAGAAAAAUACACUUGUAAGGAGUGUAGAAUUAAAUUUUUAGAGUGCUAAUAAUAGUUUCCAUAUAUUAUAAUUCAAAUUUAAACACUCUAAGAACAACGAUAUAAAACCUAAAAUCAAAUAUUUAAAUCUAAACAAAUAAGUUCAAAUACUUGCACACUAGACUCACCUCUAACUGUGGUUCCAAGGUUGGCACCCCUCGCCUGCUCACAGUUGGUGGCUAGUGGGGUGCGAUAUAAAAUCAACUCACACAUACUUCUCAGCCAUCCCUGAGUCCUCCACCAAGAUAACAUAUUGAAAUUUCUCAUGGAUUAUAAUUUUGUUUUGAAUUGUUGCAUUGGGAACUGCUUGACGCUAAAAACCGGGCCCACGUUGAAUUACAUUCAAUCAUGGAAAUUGAUUUUUUUCCAAAAUUAAACCCAACUUUAUUCGAUGCUAUUUUAAUGCCUUCGAAAUUAUAGUUUCUAUUUUUCAUCAUCAUUCCUAGCCAAAAGCAUGAAAGUUCUUUUCUUUUCUUUUUUUUGUAAAAAAAUGAUACGUGUCAUUUAAAGGUGAAAAAUCUAAAUGUAAAGGUUAGUACAAAUGUUGCUAGCACUCCCAAUGACUGGAAACUGUGUAACAGUUUAGAAGCCAACAUUUGAAAAUCCUCAAAAUAUUAUAUUCCUUUUUGCCGAAUAUUGGAAGUUCACCAUGAGUUGCAGUAUCAGGCAGCAACAAUUCUGAAGAUUCUGCAAAAGUUCAAUAACAAGCAAUCGAAAAUCCUAAGAUAUUCGAUUUUUCUCCGUCAACUCCUUAGAGUCCAUCAUGAAUCCCAAUAUUCGGCAAAAGUUAACCCGAAAUUGAGUGUAAUUUCAGUAGCUAACAACGGAAAAUCCUCAAAAUAUUCUAUUGCUUUCUAAUUUCUAAUUAAUUGUUUUCGUUUUUGAAAUCUUGUUACACAAGUUUGCAGUAAUUAAUUAAUCAAUCAUUCUUCACUCUCAAGUCAAGUCCAUUUAACUAGUCAUCAUGAUAUCAAAUAUCUCACACAAUUAAUUUUGAACUCAAAUUAAUGAAAAUUUGUUAGGUUGUCAACAUUGCAUUUGAUUCAAUUAUAUAGAUAUGUCCGUGCCCAUCAUGCUCACAUGUGUAUACAGCUCGGUCAAUGAUAGGAUUUUUAGUACUUACGUAAAGAAUGUUAAAAUCACACAAAAUACUUGUAAGAGUACAAAGAUGUUGUAGUAUAGAUGCUCAUACAAGGUUGUUCUCCACAAGAACUAUUUAAAUAAUUUAUGUAAAACCAAUUCCUAAUUAACUACUUAAAACUAAAAAUUGAAAAAGUGUUGUGGUCUAUUUUUAUCUGACAAAGGAAUAGGGCCGGCGGCAGAGGGAGAGAGGGAAUAGAGAUGUGUGUUUGUAGAAUUGUAGGGGAAUGUGUGUUGUUAUCCCUCCUACAUUGUGCCUUUAUUUAUAGUAGUAAAGGGAGAGAAGAUAUUCCUUCUUCUCCAAGUAAUACAAGUUGUAAUAGGAAAUGAUAACUAGAAUCAAAUCUAAUCUAGGAUUUACACAAUCAUACUUAAACUAGGAAUGUUGACAACACUCCCCCCUUGAGUGUGUCAGCAUCAUGCAGAAGUUGAGGAAGUCGACUCGUUGGCACUAAUUCCAAGGAACAACGCUUAUUCUCAAUAAGGUAGGAACUUGCAUAAGUAAUAAGUCUCGCUAAAAAACCCUAAGGCUAUGGCAAAAACCCGAGUAGGGACAAAAUCCAUAGUCCAAGGAAAAAUGUAUGAGAAAUGAAAAGUCAAAAGAAACGUCUACAGGACGUCAUCAGGGAUAUGACCAGCCCAAGGUGGGUGCCUCGUUAAAACCUAGUAAGGUAGCAAAAACCCAUUGAGAAAAAUGCUCCUAAUCGUAGGGAAAAAGAGUACAUUAAGAUCAAGCAAGUAUCUACAGGAUACUCCCCCUGAGUUUGACAUAAUUCCAAAGAGAAUUAGUAAAGUUACAACUCAGAAAGUUUACGUAUACUAAUUUCAUGAACAAGCUUCUGAAACGUCGCCUUCGACAAUGAUUUGGUGAAGAGGUCGGCCAGAUUGUCUUGUGAACGGAUUUGCGUGACUUCAAUCUUCUGAUGCUCUUGUUGUUGAUUUGUAAAGAAAAACUUCGGCGCAAUGCGCUUGGUGUUGUCUCCUUUGAUGUAACCCUUCUUGAGCUGAUCGAUGCAAGCUGCGUUGUCCUAAAAAAUCAUCAUCGGGGCAUUAACGGCAGGAUGAAGAUCGUAAGAGCUUCGAAUAUGGCCCAUUAUUGCUCUCAACCAAAAGCAUUCCCGAGUUGCUUCAUGUAAGGCGAGAAUUUCAACAUGGUUAGACGAAGUGGCAACUAAGGUCUGUUUAGUUUACCUCCAAGAGAUUGCGGUGCUCUAACGAUAAAGACAUAACCCGUUUGAGAACGCGCCUUAUGCGAAUCAAAUAAGUAUCCAGCGUCGACAUAACCAACAAGGCGAAAAUCAACCCGAUGAGCAUAAGGUGCGGCAUCACUCGAGGAUUCGUAGGGAUAGAACAAGCCCAAAUCUGUAGUACCCUUAAGGUAACGGAAGAUGUCUUUCACGCCAGUCCAGUGUCUGCGUGUUGGUGCAUUGUUGUAUCUUGCCAAAAGAUUAACAGUGAAUGAGAUAUCGGGUCUAGUGCAUUGAGCUAAGUACAAUAAAGCGCCUAUCGCACUUAGAUAAGGAACUUCAGGCUCUAAAAUCUCUUCAUCAUCCUCUUUCAGACGGAAGGGAUCUCGUUUUGCAUCUAGCGUACGAACGACCAUAGGAGUACUCGAAGACUUCGCUUUAUCCUUAUUAAAAUGGCGCAACACUUUCUGGGUGUAGUUCGAUUGAUGUACUAGGAUUCCAUCCGAACAAUGCUCUAUCUCGAGACUGAGACAAUAUCGAGUCUUACCUUUCAUCUCAAAUUUCGACUUUAGGUGCGAAGUAAUUCUUGCGAGCUCUUCGGGAGUUCCGAUGAGAUUCAUGUCAUCGACAUAUACUACAACAAUUGAAAAUCCGGAAUGUGACUUCUUAAUGAACACACAAAGGCAUAGUUCGUUGUUCACAUAUCCCUGACUAGUCAAAUACUCACUCAGAUGGUUAUACCACAUUCUUCCGGAUUGUUUCAAACCGUAGAGUGAACGCCUCAGCCGAAUUGAUAGCGUGUUCCGGGGUUUGGAAAUAUUUGAACCAGUCAAUGUAAGUCCUUCGGUAACUUUCAUAUAAAUUUCUGUAUUAAGAUCCCCAUAGAGAUACGCGAUUACUACGUCCAUCAGCUGCAUAUCCAGUUUUUCGGAAACCACCAAACUGAUAAGGUAGCGAAAAGUAAUCACAUCCAUAACGGGUGAGUAAGUUUCGUCAUAAUCAAUCCCAGGGCAUUGUGAGAAACCUUGUGCUAUAAGACGAGCUUUGUAACGAACUUCUUACGACGAGAGUGAUAUUCAUCUACAACCUUCUUGGGAGCUUAGCAAACACGGGACCAAUGGUCCUUUGAACCAUAGCGAUAGCACAUAUCGUCAUCCAUGGUUUUGGAUGCUUUGCCCUUAUUCUUGAAGUGCAGGGUCUUGGGAGCGAGGUUUGGGCGCUUCUAGGCUUUGUUUCCUCCCUUGGAUGGGCCUUGGCUCUGUUGACCUUUGUGGGAUGGCUUCUGGCCGCCCCUACCACGCCGCUUUUGGCGUGUUGGGUGCUGAUUAGUGCUAUAAUGUGCUUCAGGCACAGCAGUAGCCCCAGUAGGUCGAGCUUGAUGAUUCUUCAUCAACAGCUGGUUCUGCUUUUCAGCAAGAAGUAAAACAGAGAUCAAAUCCAAGAACUUCUGAGCUCUAUAUUGUUGAUGCAGGAUAAUAUUGGAAGCAGAGAAUGUCGAGUAGGUCUUCUCCAGGAGAUCCUCUUCAGUCAAAGUUUCAUUGCAAAACUUGAGAAUUAAUCGGAUUCAACAAACUUCAUAAUUAUAUUCAUUCACAGACUUAAAGUCUUGGAAGCGCAAGUGUUGCCAGUCGUGUCUUGCUUCAGGCAAGAAUAUGUCCUUUUGGUGAUCGAAACGAUCAGCCAAAGCAACCCAUAAUGCACGUGGAUCCUCCUCAGCAAGGUACUCAGUUUGCAGAGCGUCAUGGAUAUGUCUUUGGAUGAAGAUCAUAGCAGUGGCUUUUUCAGCUUCUCCAACAGGUUUAUCUGUUGCUUCUUUAAUAGCAGGACGCAAGUUCUUUGCAGUGAGGUAGAGCUUCACAUCUUGAACCCACUUGAGGUAGUUCCUUCUAGAGACCUCUAAAGCGGUGAAGUCGAGUUUGUUGAAAUUCGACAUGUUCCUAUCACAAAAUAGAUGGACAAGAUGUGGUUAGUGUAAUGGAGAAAAAAUCAAUUCAUUCACAUAGGAGUAGAACAUACAGGUUCUAAUAGACAUGUAUUGGUUUAAUUUUGCAUGAAAAACUUCGGGUUUCAUGGGUGAUAUGUUUAAGUGAAAACUUCAGGUUUUCAAACAAGGCGUGUUUAAAAGAAACUUCAGGUUUCAAAGUAAUUAUGAACUUCAGGUUCAUGUAUUCAUGCAGGCAAACACAAAUAUAUAUGCAAACAAAUAUGCAACAAGUAUAUGCAAGAAAUAUAACUUUUAGGUGUAUAAUUAUAAUUGAAUGAAUUUAUUUGGACUUCGGGCCAAAUUAAGAUGUGGGGAAAAUAUGAAAAACCCAAAUUAUUUUAAAAUAAAUAAAUAAUGAAGUCUCGGGACCUAAAAAUAUAGGCCAAGAACCCUCGGGUGAGUCAUGGGUAAGCUUUAGGCUCACGGGGAGGGGAGCAAAAAGGAGUAGGCUGCCACGGGCAGACCCAAAUUUUUUUUUUUUCUCACACAGGCUGCUUCAAGCAGGCCCAAAAGAAACCAAAAAAAAUUGCUCUUUUUUUAGGGCUGGGCUGCUGCAGGCGAGCCUAGAAAACAAAAAAAAAUUGUUUUGUUUUUUUUUUUUCACGGGCCAAGGAGCUAGAGCCCACUCGGGCUCGGGUGGAUAGAAACUGAACAACCCAGCGGCGCUGGGUGUGCUUGGCCGGGGAAGAAAACCAGAAAAAUUGGACGACGCCACUACAGGUGGUCGUGUCGGGGUUGUAGGGGCUCGGAGUGAGUCACGGUUGUCAUGGACAACCACAGAGAUAAGAAAAUCUCAACGUUUCAACAAUUGUAAAACCCUAAAAAAAUGAAAUUGAAUUUUCAAAAAAUUUCGAUGAGAAUCCGAUGAAUCUCAAUUCAAUUUUAGAUGUGGGACGACUUCUGGUCGUCGGCGACAUGAACCAGAGGUUAAAAGCAAUGGCUGCAGGCCACGCCGUGGUCAAUGGGCACCAUGAAAGGUGUCGGGUUUUAGUGGUUUUCUUGGGAAUGGGACACCAUGGGCGUCGGGUUCUCGGCUUUGCAGGUUGCAUGCCUGGCAAAGGGAUAGGUUGGGCCAUCGCAGGCUGCGGGCUUGGUGGCUUGCGGCCUUGCAAGAUGCAAAGGCACGGGUUCGAACAGAACCCUAGAUCCCAAUUCCAAUUUUUCUGUUUUUCAUUAAUUCACUUAUAUGCAUGAAUAAUUCAAUUGUAUAUUUCAAUGAAUCACAGAUGUAAAUUGAUGCAUAUGCAAAUAAUAGUUUCAAUGCAUGUACAUAUGUAAGAUUCAAUUCAUGGCAAAUAUCAAAUUCACAUAAUUGCAGCAAUUUUGGUUAUGAGGCAUACACAAUUUAUGUAGAAUCUAAAAUAAGUUAAACGUAAAGUUGGGUCAUGCAUCAUAGUGAAUGUUCAUGCUAUCAGGGCUUGCAAAAUAUCGAGUAAAAAGCCGUUGUUUUGAAAGAACCUGAUUGCGUGAUGAUAUGGAUGAACUGGUUUGAUGCAGAAAAAAAAAAAUUCUCCAAUGUCAGAUUCCUAAGCGCAGCGGUAGGAGCGUGCUGAUAACGUGUUGUGGUCUAUUUUUAUCUGACAAAGGAAUAGGGCCGGCGGCAGAGGGAGAGAGGGAAUAGAGAUGUGUGUUUGUAAAAUUGUAAGGGAAUGUGUGUUGUUAUCCCUCCUACAUUGUGCCUUUAUUUAUAGUAGUAAAGGGAGAGAAGAUAUUCCUUCUUCUCCAAGUAAUACAAGUUGUAAUAGGAAAGGAUAACUAGAAUCAAAUCUAAUCUAGAAUUUACACAAUCAUACUUAAACUAGGAAUGUUCACAACAAAAAGGAGAUUUUGAAUUUGGGUAAUAUUAAAAUUUUAAUUAAAAACAAAUAGUAAAUUCGCCCAAAAUUAAUACGAUAAAAGAAAAGAGUUUUUAAAUACUAAUUUAUAAAAGCACUAGGGUUCCGCCAUCACCAUAACAAUCCUAUAUAUUUUUUACCAAUUACUUAUGAUCUACACAUGCAAUGUUGAAGGUUAGGUUUUCCUAAUACAUAUUCUCCUCGUGAUGUUCAAGUAAGAACGUAUAUCUAACAUGCAAUCCAUUCAUUAAGUUCUGCGAAAACACUCUGAAAAACCAUGCAACCCCUAAAACGUGAUAAUCAUCUUAAGUGAAAUUACAAUUAUUACCACAAGAAGCAAAACCCAAUUCUCCGGUGAUAUUCCGAUCAAAUUGCAUCGAAUUACUUUUCUAAUGAUCCUAAUGAUGAUCAGUCAUUAAGACAAUUAGAUAGUUUAAAACAGUGAUUAAUAAUUCAAAGCAUACAUGCAAUCAAUCAUAAGCAAUUAAAUAAAAAUUACAUAUUCAUGCUAAGGCUCAAGGCUUCGCCCUAGCAAAACGGAUUAGUUAUGCAUAUUCAUAAUUAAAAUCAUAGAAAAUAUUAUUAUGAACAAAAUGAUUGAAAACACCUUAAAGUAAAAGUCUAAAAUUCUCCUAGGACCCUAGUCAAUUUCCUAUCUCCAAGUUGCAUCAAAGAAGAAGUAGAAAAACUAGAGUCGACCAAAACCUUAUAUCGCUCUCCUAAACUCUGCGCUAAUCCCUAAUAAAAGUCUUUGGCUCCAACUAGGAAACCAAAUAAUAAUAAAAUAUACUGGAAAAUAAAGUCCUUUUUUUUAAAUAUCAGAACAUCCUAAAAAAAUAAAGUCCUAAUUAAGUUAGGAGAAUCUGCAAGGGUAUUGUCCAGCCACGUUUUAGCCUCAAAUCUCCUCCAAAUCCGGCCAAUGACAACUUGUUUUAAAUAUCGGAACAUUCUGAACACAUCUCUAGAAGGGGCUAAAUCCAAAAUAGGUAUCUUGAGCUCCAAAACUCGCAAUUAAACCCAAAACGUCGCUUUUGCAGCACCACUCACUACUCUUUUAUUCUAUCGCCAGAAAAUAACCACUUGGUGGAAAAAUCUGAUAUUUUGAUAGAAUCAAGCUAAGCGACUCAUGAACAUCCUCCAACUGGAAUUACUCCAAAAUUCAUCCAUUUGAUUACGUUUUACUCCAGAAGAAGUCAAAAGUUCUAUAUUGAAAAUCCAAUUCAAAGUAUCAACAUUCUUCCAAAAUAAUAAUCAAAAUAAACUAAGAUUAGGGCAGAAUAUGUAAUAUAAUAUUGACUCAUAACCUUCAAAAUAGUUCCACUUUUACAUUAUUUGGGAUGAUUUUGCUCCUAGUUUUUAAUCACAAAUUCAAGGCAGAUGGAGCACAAGGUAUACAAAGUUUUGUGACACCCAGAAGAAACAUAUGGAUGAGAAGGCUGUAGGAAAUGAAAGUUUUGCUUGUCUUCUGGUGGUGAUGGUGGUUAAGAUUUCAUAUCAAUGCUUAAUCAUAAAAUACAAAAUAAAGAGAAAGCAAGUGGACCCAGAAAUGUUACUGUUUUCAAAUGGGUGUUUGGUCAUCACCAUCAUAGAUGAAAUGUCUUAAUGCAUCCAGCUAAUGCAAGGUAGAUUGUUGUUUCACAAUAGGACGUUAUGUCUAAAAAUAUGACAUAAUAUUGUAUUUGCUUUAUCCCCUAACAUUUUAUAAACCAGUGCUAGAAAGAGAAAUUGUUUUUAGCUGGGGAUUACUUUUGCUUACUUCUGAUAAUUGAAAUUUUAUCAUAAAACUAAUUGAUAAUAUAAAAAGUAACACACUCCAUAUUCAUGGACCAUUUUUUCAUCAAUUUGAAAUUAAUUUACUACAGUACUCUAAAUGCAUAAAGACAAUUUAGCACUUGCCAAACAAUUAAAUGCACAAAGAAAAACAAAACCAAAAUAAAACUUUGGAAUUCGAAUUGCAGUUUCUUUACAUCCAGUUACUCUUGGGAAUUGGGAUGCCAUAUACAACUUGGUGGGUACUCAUAAUUAUUUUUGAAAAUCAUCAAAUGUGGCUUAAGUUUUGGAAGAAGCUAAACAAAAUAAUUAAAAAAAUGCAUAACAGAAAGGUGAGUGGUGAUCGUUGUGACUAAUAAAUUGUUGGGUGCUCUCUUUGUUAGCAUAUAAAACCAUAAACAGCCGUUGGAAUCGACCAACGAUGAUUGAAAUCCCGUUAUUCCAUCAUCUUUUAUAAAACUAUUAUUUGCAUAUAUGAUUUAUGAAAACAAUUUAGUAUACUUUGUACAAUAUAAAAUAUCGAAAUGAAAGAAGGUUAUGGCUUAUUAGGCAAAAGCAUUAAAUAAUAAUUGGAAUGACACUUGCAAAAGCCAAAUAUCUCGAUCUUUCAUUUGGCCUUGCAAUGUUCACAUCGUAAGAAGAAAACAAAGAACCCUUGAAACCUUUCAUGCAUACACACGGUACAAAUAAUAUUUGUUGUUAAGCCAAUGUCUUUAUGUGUUUUAUGGUACAAUCCAAUCUCUCGUCUAGCUUUGCUACAAUGAAAAUGAGAAAUGAGAUGAGAGUCAAUCCCGAAUGUCAUAAUUGAUUCGUGAGGAGUGAAAUUGUUUAGAAAAUGUGAAAUUCUUUCAUAACUCGGUUCCUGCUCAUUGUUUUUUUUUUUUUCUCUUCCAUUCCUUAGGGAAGCAUUUUUAUUUUGGAGUAGGAUUUUCUCUUCUCCUAUUUUCAUCUCCUUCCCUCCUCUCAUCUCACACUUCAUUUUUGUCUUAUUAUUUUUAUAAAAAAAAUCAAUAUAAAAUGUUAACAUAAUUUAUUCGUAACCGUUCAAGUAAAAGGAAAGGUAAAGGGAGAGAAGAAGAUUAGCUAACAUUAUCCAAUAGGCACUGGUCCUUGAGGAGAGGAAGUAGCUUUUAUGCGGUUGGUGCUUGACAGUGUGAUGAUUCCUUGUCCAGUCCCUCACUCUAUUUCGUUUAAGAUCUGUAAUAUUAGCAGUAAAGCAAAACCAACUAUAGCAUUUUCCUCACACUUUUCUCACACUUUUCUCACAUAUAUAUUAUCACGUAUCCAGCAUGAGUGUUGACCCUAAAAAGGGUACAAACAGAGAGAGAGAGAGGUAGAGAGAGGACCCCUUAUUUCUCUUUGUUUUCUUAAAUAAAUACGGAUCUCUUCGAAAACAAGCUUGCAGAAGAGAGAAAGCAAUUCUGACAAUCUAACGCUACCAUGAUGUGGAUUGUGGGGGAGUGGAGUGGGUUUAAGAAAGAUUGAACACCUUAGAUUCAUCUCUCUCUCGUGAAAACAAUGUGGGGUGUGUGUGAGAGAGAGAGAGAGAGAAGAUAGAAACGUUUCCGUCGGUAUAGUCACGUGGGAUCCACUUUCACGGACAGUCUAAAAGUGCUUCUUUCUCUUCUCGAACCCUCUGAAAAAACAUUGCCCCAUGUGCUCAGCUUCAUCACCGUCUGCUGGCACUCUCUCUCUCUCUCUCUCUCUCUAAGUUUCAUUUGCACACCCCCAAUCAAACAAAACGUCUCCACUCCCAUGUCCACCAAGCUCACAUUUUGAUCGCCUAACUCUCUCUCUCUCUCCCUCGCUCACUCUCUCUCUAACACAAUGGACUCCAGAACUCGCCUUGACCAUGUUCUCUUUCAACUCACUCCAACCAGGACAAGGUACAUAGAAGAUCCAAUCUUUCGUGUAGUUUGAUGUUGUUUCAUGCAAUGAAACAGUUUACAUUUUCUGGGUUUCUGCUAAAGGUUAGUUUUUUGUGUGUUAAAAGAUGUGAACUGGUGAUAUUUGCUGCUGGUGGUGGUGCAAACGAGAAAUUGGCUUCAGGGCUUCUGGAACCAUUCCUUGGUCACCUGAAAUGCGCCAAGGAUCAGAUUUCCAAAGGAGGGUACUCCAUCAUUCUUCGUCCUUCGGACUCCGGUGCCUCCUGGUUCACCAAAGCCACUUUGCAGAGGUAAUGUUGUAAAAAUGUAUGUGUUUUUUCUAAUUAUCUAGCAUAAUUGAGCGAUAAUUUUCUAAAUUUGAUCACCAAGUUUGGAUCUGGGUUUGUGAUAAAUUCGAAUGAAGAAUUGGAUUAAUUAUAGAAAUAAACGCUUAUAUUUGUAAUUGAGAUGACCAAAGUAGUAACAUUGAAGUUGGAGAGUUCGGGUGGCUAUUAGAUUUGAUGUAAUCGUGUAAAGUUCUGAUCUUUAGGAUGUUAUGUCUUGCGGAUUUUGUCGUGUGUGAAGCGCGAAAUAGUUUUCAUUGUUGACAGAUUGAGUAAUUGGUGUGAUGUUAUUGGUGUGAAUGCUACAGGUUUGUGAAAUUUGUUAGCACGCCAGAAGUUCUUGAGAGAUUUAUGACUAUUGAGAGGGAGAUUUUGCAAAUUGAGAAUUCAAUUCAAUCGAGUGAACUAGCCGAAUCAGAAGGUGCAUUUCGGAGAUCCUUCAUAUUAUUUACCCUGUUAUUGUAUAUUCUUCAAUUCACUUACCUGCUGAUUACAUUUACUGAAUCUACAGCAUUCUCAAUUUGUUGAAUUAUUCUAGCAUCAAAAUCAAUGAUUAAACACUAUUUUCUAUUAUGGGAAAGCUUGCGAGUUAUUGCUCUUUAGGAUACUAACGGUGAUGUGCUGCAUGAGCAAUAGUGUUUUAGGAAAAUCUUCCCCAGAUACUAGGGAUUGUAUGUCCUUAAAGAUAACAAAAUAUCGACUCUUGUUGAACCCUUAAGCAUGCUUUAAUCUCUCCGGUAAGGCUGCUCCGCUGUGACAUAGAGGUCGUAAGUAGAAAUAGCAAAUCGUCUCACAGGAGUAAGCAUCUGAUCCAACCCGGACCGUGCAAUGGUGGGAGUCUUGUGCAUGGGCGCCCUUUGUCCUUGUCAAUUUAACGGCUACAGUUGAGAAAAUGUGUCUUCUAACUUUUGGUUUCUCAAAUGUCGACAGCAGAUGGGAAUCAAAAUAAGUCAACUGCAAUCAAGGUAUGCAUCAAUCGGCAAUUGUAUGUGUAAAAGUACUGAUUUGGUUCCUUUUGAAGCUCUUGCAAUUAUAAUGAACCGUUUUGUUGUGUUGUGAUGGUGUUUUAGUCAAACAGUGAAUCCAAUGGAGCCAUUAAUGCUGUGCCAGAAGAAAAUUCCAAGUAAGUAGUCUGGAUUUUCAAAAGUUCAUAUGUGAUUAUUAUACUGCUUGGUUAGAACAAAUUGCAUUUUCAUGCAUUGAUUAUUCAGCUUUUGGUGUUGAACAGGAUUCGUCUUCAACGUGUUUUGGAAACCCGGAAGGUAGUACUAUGCAAAGAGCAAGCGAUGGCUUAUGCUCGUGCUUUAGUUGCUGGAUUUGAACUGGACUACAUAGAAGAUCUUAUAUCUUUUGCUGAUACUUUUGGAGCUACACGCUUAAGGUAUGAAAUGUUGACUUGACUCACCUGUUACCGAUUUCCACUAGUUUUUUGAAGGCUUUUAUCCUCAUUCCAAAAUUAAUGUUAUCCACUGUUUUUCUUCUUUUCUCUCAUUUGGAGGUUCGGUGGGUGUGUAUCUUUAUUAAAGGACGACAUCUCAGUUUCGGUUUUUUAUUUUCAGGGAAGCAUGCAUUAAUUUCAUAAAUCUAUACAAGCAAAAGAACGAAGAUAGGCUUUGGAUGGAAGAAAUAGCAGCAAUGCAGGCACUUUCUCAGCCACAACUGCCGUACUUGGGAACAUCAGGAAUAAUUCUUGCUGGAGAAGAUAAUGACCCCCAUCAGAAUCUCAUGAUAAAUGUUAACCAAAACAUUCUUUCUGUUGGGAAGAAUAGCUCAUUAGACACAUUAGUGUCGGAGUCAACAAGUCAUGGAAGUCUCGACGCGAACCAAGGUAUGGUUAAACACCCAAGAGUCGUUCCCGUUUCUGCCUAUAAUUUGGCUGUGAUCUACUCGGCCCAAAAACUUGUAUUGCAACUUUGUAUUAGAUAACUCCAUCCAUGACAUGGUUAAAAAAUCACAAUCUACAGAUAUUUCGAUGAUCAUCUUCUUUUUCAUUUCACAUCUGAACAAUCUUAGAGAGAAGUUAAUAAUAUUAAUAAUAGGAAAGAAACUCAGCUUCCAUCUCCAACGUCUUCUUGUCUUGUGCAGAUAAUAGCUUGCCAACAUCGAUGUCAUCAAUGGAUGGGAAGGCACAAGUACCAAACCCAUGGCCAAACCAGCAUCCUCAGUACAUGCACAAUUUCCAAGGUCCUGUGUAUCCACAAAGGCACCCGUAUCAAGGUUACCUUUUUCCUGGUAUGCAGGUUCCGACAUAUUAUCCAGGGAAUAUGAACUGGCCUCCGAAUGGGGAAGAAUCUGGCCCUAUUUUUGAUCAGGAAUCCGAUGGACGGAGGAAUCGUAAAUCUCAUAGGAAUAAAAAGAAACAUUCUCAUGAAAAAGUAGUAGAAACUUCAGACCAAGAUGUAUCCGGUGACAACACUGGCUCCAGUUAUGAGAGUGAAUCUGAUGAUCAGACGCAUAAGCAAAGGCAUGGGAGAAAGUCCUCGAGAAAGGUUGUUAUCCGAAAUAUCAAUUACAUAACCUCUAAGAGGGAUGGAGAAACAGGAAGUACGUCUGAGGGAAAUUCAUCCGACAAGGAUGGAUUUGUUGAUGGGAAAUCCAUUAAACAGCAGGUAGAGGAAGCUGUUGGGUCAUUUGAGAAGAAACAUAAAUCAACCUCACAUCGUCAUAAAAAACAAGGUGGAGGCAAGUUCCGUGGCGCUGUGGAUGAUUCAAAUAGUGGUGUUGCAAGUACUUAUGAGGGAGAAAAACAAAAUGAAAACUGGAAUGCUUUCCAAGACCUUCUCAUGAGGGACAAGGAUGAAAGUUCGUUUGCUACAGAACCACACAAUGUACAGAUUGAGGAGGAAUAUUUUUCAAGUAAGAACUCUGGCGAAGGAAAAGUGACUAAGCAACGAGCAGAUUCAAGUGAAUUUUUUGUGGUGACAGAGAGGGAUUCAAGUAAUGAUAGUAAACCACGUGUCCAAUACUUCGAAGGUGACGAGAAUGUUGGCCGGAUUACCAAGAAAGAAGAUAGCACAUAUGAGGACGUAUUAUUUUCACGGAGAACUGAAGAAUCUGGAAACAAAUCCCAUGAUACUUUAUCUGAUUGUGUCAAUGAAUCGUACAUAACCAAAUGUUCUAAAGAAGGGGAUUGGUUCAUGAACAACCAAACAGAUAUAUCAGCAAAUAGGGAUGUCAAUAAUGAUCUGAAAUUGUUUGAUGGUGUUGAUGCAAUUCAUGCGGAGAGGAAUAAGAGAGAUGUUCUAGGGGAUGACUCUUUCAUGGUUCAAGGCCGAUCACUAGUUGAUCAAUCUGAUUCUCAGUUCAGGACAGAUAUAAGCUUCGUCCCAGAGAUCAAUGGAGCUACUCAAGAUGAAUAUGGCAUGCAAGAAACUUCAAAUGAUAAACCUGAAGCGUAUAGUGUUCAUGAACCGGAUGACCUUUACAUGAUGCUUGACCGUGGAUCAGCUAUGGAGCAUGCUGUGGCACCAUGGACUCCCGAAAUGGAUUAUGAAACUAUUGCUUCAUCAUUUGAAGCUACUAAGAAGAAUCCUGGCACUGAAGCAAGUGAUUCCGUUGAAGUUAAGCAGCCUUCUGAUGGUAAGGGAAGGAAUGAUAAAAAUAGUGGAAUUCCUGGACAAAAAGCCAGGUCUAAAGUUGUAAAUGGAUCUUUGGCGAAAAGCAAGUCUGAUGUCAUGUCAAGAAGCAAGAAACCUGCUCCUGUAAGCAAAAGCACAGUCCACAAGAGCAAAUCUGAAAUGGUAUGUACUGAAAGAAACUCCCUUUAUAAGGUUUUCUAAGAUAGUUUUAAAGAGUUUGUAGUCAUAUCACUGACUGUAUCUGAUAUUUACUAUUUCUUUAAAAGAUUUUUCGCCCCUUUUCCCGUCAAUUUAUUAGAAAUUUAUUAUUUGGUGGCUUCAUUAUGCAGUUGAACUUUCUGUUAUGUGUGUUAUGUGUUUCCCAAAUCAAAUGGAAUUUUCACUUUUUCUUAGAUGUCUUGAGACUUGAUUUUUGUUCAUUGCUACUAACACUCUCCCUCUCCCUUCCAUUUCCUUUUUGCUGGUUUAUUGACUUUCUUUUCCAAUAUUUAUUAGGAAAAAGAGCGGAGAAAGAGAAUGGAGGAGUUACUGAUUCAACGCCAGAAGAGAAUUGCUGAAAGGAGUGGUUCUGAUACAGCAAUAUCUAAGAAGGCCCCAAUGGACAAUAAAACUACCAAAAUCUCCAUGACUAACUCGAAGAAUGAGACUAAGAAAUCAGAUAAGCCUGUCAUGCGGAAUUCCACCAUUGAACGCCUUGCAACUGCACGAGUAACUGAAAAGUUAACACCAACUUUGCCAAGUGCUGGCCAACCCAAAAAACAGAACAUCAAGGCAAACGGUGUGGUUGCAAGUGCCUCAUCACAGAAGGCAGCUGCUGCAGUGAAUAAGAAACCCACUCCAAACAAAGCCAAACCUUUGGGUACAGAAGAGGACCUGAAGAAAUCAAAUCAAUUAACUUCAUCUGACUCUAAUGUCCAGGAAAAGGUUUGCAUAGAAUCCACAGAAGCACUGCCGGUUAAGUCAGCAGCUGCAGUUGUAACUCAACCCACCUGUUCCAUCAAUCAUUUGGAAGAGAAAAAAGAAAUCCAUGGUACAUCAUCUGUUGAAAAGAAUGAGGGAAAUUUGAUGUUUCAAAGAGAGGCCCUGGAGAAUGGUAGCACCAAUGGGUAUUCUCCCAAUUUGGUUUCAUCUGUACCUUUUGAAGAGAACGCUCAAAAACUGAAUCAGUUUACAGGAGAUGUUGAAGAGUUGCCUAAAGAAUUUCCAGUUCUGAGUGAAGACAAGAGAAAUUAUAUCUCGGAAAUGAGUGUAUCUCCUCCUAUUCUGGGAUCACCUAAGAAAGCUUUGAUUGUUUCAGCUGUGAACAAUGAAGAAACUGGUGCAAAAACAAAGAAUUUACCAAUUUCUGAGAUCUCUGAGAUAGAAAUCUCUACUCCACCAAGUGAUGAAACACUUGCGGAACUCCACUCCAGGAAGAAGUGGAACAGUGAUGAGAACUCUCCUAAAGCUGCCAAAGGGUUUAAGAAGCUUCUAUUGUUUGGGCGGAAGAGCCGAAACACUCCUGUCAAUUGAUAUUUGUGGAACUAAGAUAAUUCAUUGCUAGUAGCUUUUGUUUGCAGCAUGUCAUAAUAUUUUUCCAUUGGUUUUUUGGGUUGUUCGUGUCCAAAAGGGAUGGACCGACCAAUUGAAUUGCUUGAUAAUGCAGCUGAUGCAUUCUUUAUGGCUGUCAAAUGGAAUAGCCUCACCGCUCUCGUAUCCAAUAAGGCUUCCGGGUGUUGCUGCCACACAAGGAGAGCACUGUAAGUUAUGUAUUUUUUUUUUGUAUAUCCUAGGAAGAUAGAAAGAUAGCCAUCUGCUUAUUUGAUAUAGCUUGUGCAUUUGAAUUGAUAGACAAUACGAGCUAUUUUCUGCAUCUCUUGUAAUAUUCUCUUAUAUCAAAUCUGUUUGUUUGUGUAAGAACAGACAUCUUUGCACCUUUGUUAAUCAGCAAGUACAUAAUGUUUGUGAUAUCACUGAUCCACACAGGCUGAACUUGCCGAUCUACUAGUUUAGAAUAGCCGUUUGAUUGGUCUUGGAAUAAGAAUUCGUAAGAUGUAUCUGUCGUUCGUUGACAGGGUCGAACUGUUUUUGGUUAGAUUUGUCAUGGAGGCCUUGACAGUUCUGAACUAAACCAAUUAGAAUUCUCCUGUCUGUAUAAGUAAAAUGUGCAUAGAAGAAUGAGUAGUUGGAAUCCUAAGAGUUUAAGUAAAAAUAUACUCAAUUCGGUAACAGUACGUUCAUAAAGUACCAUGCAAGCAUCAUUCACUGUAAACGAAAUCAUCAGAUUAACCCCAUUGCUGCAUCCUUCUCAAGAUAAUCAGAAAACUGAAAAGUUUUUACGAUGCCUAUACUCUGCCUUGAGACACUUCAGUUUGGCUACUAGAUCAUCAUAUUCCGGAAGCUUGGGGUGGACAUGGCUGGAGCAAGGAGACGUUCCCUGCGCCAUUUUAUGUCCAUCAACCGGACCAGCGAAAGAAUUGCGACUCCUCACCAACAUCUUGGAGCGAUCUUUGUUCACAGCAUCCCCAUUUGUACUUUUUCUAGGUGUAGUAGUCAUGGCAUGUGUCCUAGGGUUUCCAUUUCCGUCCCGUAAGUCGAUAUCAUUUUUCUUGAUUUUGUUUAAGCAAACUGAACCAGCAGUUGUACUUGAGCCAUUAUGAAAAUGGCAUAGCGUGGCCAGUGAAAGCUUACCGUUCGCCAGCGAACAACGUAUCCGAGAACUCUCCUCCGUUUCCGAAUUCGGAAUUUGUAUUUGAAUCCCAUCAGCUUUCUGCUCAUCCUUGAAAUCUCUGUCUGCAAAGCUAUAAUUCUGUGCCAUCAGGAAAAGCACUUUUAGGAAGUCAUCAAAUUUACAUUUCAAAUAUAUUAGGUUCAAACCACAAGUAGGACUAAAUGUUAUUGUGCAAGGUUAUAAACUUCCGAUGUGAGGUUCUAUUAACAAUGUCGUCGAUAAUGUGGUCAGUAAAUGUGAUACAAAUCACAUUUGUGCGCACCUGGUGUGUCGUGCCUUGGCUAUCCUGAAGCGCCAGCUGGACAUUGGUGUUCUUCAUUAUAUCACCUAUUAAAUACUGUUUCACUUCGUCCGGAAUCAGAGUUAUGCAUAGUUUCUCCUUCAACUGAGAAUUCACAAGAUUCCCAGCACGUAAUUCGACACUGAUAACGUCGAGUUCCCAUCCGUAUUGCUCUUUGAACAGGCCACGCAACAGACGUAGCUCUGGCAGUUCACCACAUCUUGAGGCAGCAAAUAUUAAACUUGCAACUGCUUCUCCAACAGCACCAGGCAAGUCCUGCACUGCCCUGCAGAAUUUAUUGGUUUGUUAAAUUUUAUUUUGUAUAAGCUUUAUCGGGGAAGGGAACAAUUGAACACGGAACUUCAAGUAACGGUGAAUGCUUUUAACGAACUGAGUUACAAAUCCCUUGAUACUUACCUGUUAUUGUACACAUGGACAAUACUGGUGGUAAUGCAAUUGCAGAAAUGGGCAAUUUGAUCAUAUGCAGCCAAUAAGCACUGGUCCUUGUGGAGUUUCUCAACCUGGACAUAAGAACAAAAGGGGUGGUCAAAAGUUGUCCCUUAAAGAGACUUAAAACCAAAUUAACGCCUUUUGGGUGAUUGUUAAAACUAAGGGGUGGUCAAAAUCACUCCUUAUUGCGUUUGGCAAAAAAAAAAAAAAAAACUAAAAAAGUGUCCAAACAAUAGAAGUAUUUUUUUAAGAAACAAGUGUUAGAUGUUUCUUCAAGAAGCACUUAAAUGUUUUAUAAAACUUUCAACAUAUUUUUAAUAAAAGCACUUCUAAUGAAGGUUCUUAUUACCAUAAGUGCUUCUUACAUAAGCAAUUUCAAAUUUCGACAAAGAAAAAAAAAGAAGUAAUUUCAAAUGAGUCCCAAGAUCCACGAUGUAUCAUACAACAACAAAAAGGGUCUAUUAGUAACUAGAAGUGCAUUACUUUGUACGUAUAUCAUGUGACAAGAGAGAAAGUUAUGAGAUAUCAUGUGACAAGAGAGAAAGUUAUGAGAAAUAUAUCUCCCAUUGUACCAAAGUAUCUCUCUCAUACCACAAGAGUCGGGUCAAAACCCAAGUGGCCAAAAUUGAUUUCUUUAAAAAAAAAAACAUGGGUAAAUGAUGGGAAAAAAAAACACAAUUAGGUACUGCAAUCCUUGAUUAGCAAGAGAUUAAAUUACCCUAGGUAAAGCUUGCUCUAGCUGUCCAUUUCGGAGAAGCAGAGAGAUGUCAACACGUGCCUGCCUCACAAUAGCAUCUCUCCUAUUCUUUUGGAUGGUUAAAUGCUUCUGCACUUGCGUAACCAGGCUCUUGCUGCAAUACAAGCAUGCACCAUUAGUCACCUCGGCACAGUCAUAUUUGAGUUUGAUGUAAAUCUUUUAUUUUUAAACAAUAGGAGACUAGAAAUCGAACGUGAGAUCUCUUCUAACAUUUGACAGUAAUACCAUUAGAGAGAUGUUCUUAGUUGUGUAACCAAAAUUUGAUAACCCUGUGCAUAUCAAGUUCAAUGUGGCACAACACUUAAAAAUACGUAUAAAAUCGUAUCUGAGCAGGGCAGCAUGUUUACGAUUAACAAAGUCUCGACCAAUAAUAUGUAGUAACCCGAUUCCGAAGAAAAUAACUACAAGCAUUUACAUCAUUGUAAAACAAAUGAUAAUCAUUUACACCAUCAUUGAUGAUCGGUAUAUAAAACGUAAAGGAUUGCAGUACUUAGGCUUAGCCAAGUUGGCUACAGCAGUGUGCUCCUUCCGCACCCAAGUGCAAAUUUCCUCUUAGUAGUUUACAGGAAUUAGUGUAGAAUAUCGUUUGUAACAAACAAACAAAACAAUAAUAAUAAAACUUAAAGGGUCAAGAAAGAUUGUUUUACCAUUUGGACACUUUUCUCCAUCUUGAAGCCUUGGUCCAUAUAAUUGCAGCUCGGAGUGCACCAUACCACAUUGUUUUCUUGGUUUUGCUUUGUCCUUUUACAAAAUGGCUUUCUCACUUCUGCACUGAAAAUUUGUUAUCCAAAGAAGAAGAACAAAAUGAAGAAUUUUAGGGACUAUUUUGGCUUUGGCAAUGUGAUGGGAGAGGAAAGUUUUGGCCUUUGGGACUCAUUAGGGCAGUAUUUACAUAUCAACUUAAUAGCAGAUACUAAUUUUCUCAAGUAAAAAGUAAACCAUCUUUUGUAUUAGGAAGGUGAUCUUAUAACCAAAAGGGUAUAUAAUUAAUUCAAUUUAAUUACUCCAAGAUCUUUAUGCCAUUUCAGAAAUAUCUCCUUGGUUAUACAAAAAUCAUUUACGAACAUCAUCAGCCAGAAAGUUGUAAUCUUUUGAGAAUUUUUUACCACAAGAUUAGAUAGUUUUCUUAGGAAAUGAAUUCGUGCAUGCAUUUAGGUAUAUAUUAUAUAAGAUUUGUUCAUAAAAUAUCGUAAGAAUAUGUUAUACUAGCCGUCAGAUUAGUCCUUGUAUUUAAGUUCACUUUUAUUUCUUUCUUUUUAUUUCUCAUUUUCCAUAGAAGCUAUUACGAUUUGUCUAUGUUAUGCGUACACCUUAAUUGGCAAAUAGACAGAUUCCAAAAAUAGUGAAAAGCAGCGGUUCCCUAAACGAUAGUAAAUUGUACAAGAGGAUAAGGUGCACAAAAGUUGCCUCAUUUGUUAAUGGUGGAUUUGUGUUUCUUUUAAUACAAACGAUAUUGAUAAUAAUUUAUACUAGGGGGAUGAGAGGGUUUGAACCUGGAUGAAGCAUUUGGUUCUUGAAAACGAGCGAGUUUGCAGCAUAAGAUUCUACAUGCUUGUUUAUAUUGUUUUUUUUUUUGGGUCAAAGCUUGUUUAUAUUGUUAUACAACCCUUUUUGUCUCGCAUACUUUUAACCCUAGUGAAGCCACUUUUAUACCACCCUAUCUCCUUUAAAUUUAUGAUCAACUAUUUUUGUGGCCUCUGUGGUGACCCCGCUCUUUGAACGGUGAAAGAGCUUGUUAAUUAAACACAAGCAAUGUUUAAAAUAUUGAUAUAGGUGGAAAUAUCGAUAUGCAAAUUAAUAGAUAUAUAUUGAUAUCAAUAUCGGUUGAUCUUCGACGAAUUAUGAAAAUUUGCAAUGGGAGGAGAAUAUCAACUCAUUCAGAUUUUAGUCAAAAUUAAAGAAAACUUUCUCAUAAAGAGUUGAAAAGAUUGAAAUCUGUAAUUGGUUCCGACAAUAUUUUUGCAGUGAAUCGGUGAACAUUGUCGAUAUUCAUUGAUUUUUCCAAAUCUCAUCGAUAUGAAAUUUGCAUUUCACCUCCUUUCCAUAUUCAUCCUUAAAUUUUUGGAUAUUUCAACAAAAAUAUCGUCAAUUUCGUAAAUAAUUUAAACAUGGAAUACAAGUAGUGAUUCCCAUUAUUCUUCCAUUAAAAGAAGAGUUAAAGUUAUCAUUUCAAUCAAAUCUAAAUAGUCUUGAACAUUUUUUUUCUUAAAAAAACCAAAAAAAAAAAAAAAAGUCUUGAACAUUAGUCAUACGAGUUUGUGGAGUUUAUUCGCUAUAACUACUCAAAGUUGGGAAUGAUUUAGGGUUUGACGGGAAAACGCCCCAAUGAACUACAAUACUCACAUAUUUUAUUUAAUCAUUUCAUUAUCCAAUAACUUGGAAAGCAAUUUCAUGUAACAAAUAGCUUGUGUACACUACUACAAUAUAGGCUAUCACCGGCGAAGCAAAAACCGACAAUAAACCUAAUUUCUGUCGGAAAGUUGGCAAAAAUCCGACAUAAAACAAUGUAAUGUCGCAUUUCAAUAGCGACACUAAUGCUUGCGUCACGAAAGGCCUUCAGUGUCGGUUUGAUUGCUUAAUCCGCCACUAUGCAGCGUUGUUUCAAAGCGACACUGACAUUAGCGUCGCUUUAAAGCGACGUACAUUUGAACAUUAAUUAUAAUAUAUCCACCUCACUGUCGGUUCUAACCAACAUUCCCAUAAAAUUAUAUAAAUAAAAUAUACCUAAACCGACGUUAUAUAACCAUUAAAUAAAUAAAAUAUUCAAAUUUAGCAAUUUAAUUAUAAUAUAUAGCCACCCUACUGUCGAUUCUAACAGACAUUGUCUUACAAUUAAAUAAAUAAAAUAUACUAAACCGACGUUAGAUAACAAUUAAAUAAAAAAAAAAUAUUCAAAGUCAGCAAUUUAAUUAUAAUAUAUAUCAACCAUACCGUCGGUUCUAACCAACAUUGUAAUAAAAUUAAAUAAUUAAAAUAUUCCUAAACCGACGUAAGAAAACCAUUACAUAAAUAAAAUAUUCAAACUAGUAACGGUCUUAACCGACACUACCCUUGUUAAUAUUAAUAAAAAAAACGUAAAUCUGCAUCAUUUUCAAUUAAUUGGUACUAAAAUAUACAAACAUUAAUAAAAAAAAUUAACAAGACAUAUAGUGCCAAAAUAUACAAAUAUUAUACAUCAAACGUUCCACAUAAUAUACAAAAACUCAUCCGUCACAACAAACACUAAAUCCGACAUUACAAACAUAACAUACAAAAACAAAAAUAUAGAACAAAUGUGUCAUAUUUAUCCGCCAAGAAAGCGGACCAAAUAAACUACUCAACCGAACCUGAGCCUGAAUGUGGCCCAGAUCCUUCUCCUCCUUGAGAUCCUCCUCCUCCUUGAGAUCCUCCAUCUGCUCCUAAAUACCUUGUGAAGUCCACAUCAAAUCCACCACCAGCAAGCAUUCCAGAAAACCCCCCAACUGGAACUUCAGGACAAAAUACAGCAGGAGCAGCCAUCUCAGGUUGAUAUACUGGCGUUUGAUAAUGUGAAUACUGCUGCAUGUAUGACAUGGGAGGAUGCUGCAUAUAUGGCAUGGGCGGCUACUGCAUGUAUGACAUGGGCGUAGGCAUCGGAUACAUAGGAUAUGAAGGUUGCUGAUUAUGGCCAGCAUACGGAUAUGCAGGGGGAGGCUAACUAUGGCCCAACUGUUGAGGAGGCUGACUCUGGCCUGACUGUUGAGGAGGCUGACCCUGGCCUGACUGUUGGGUUCCCGGGCUAUACGGCGGUUGAGGCUGAAAGUUUUGAAGAAACAUAGUAAGCAACUGAUUAGUAUGUUCAAACUUGCCCUCUAGGUCCGAAAGCCGUUUAUUAGUAUUUUCUUCCCUCAUUCUCAACACAUUAUUUUCAAUCAUCAACAAUGCCAUUGCACUAUUAGAUGACCUCCUGGAGGAAUUUGAUGUAGAAGAUGAAGAAGAUGCAUAGGACACCAUAUCAGGAGUCACCCCAUGACCAUACCCUCUGACUCUGUUAUGAGUCUCAGGACCCAUUGUAUCAACAUAAACACGGGUUCUAAGUUCUUCAUUAUCCUCUUGGCCCGACUCAAUCAAAUUUUGCAAAUUGCCCUCCAUUGUUGCCUUGCAUUACAAUUUAAAAAAAAAAAAAAUCAAACAAUAGUAAAACAGAAAAAUAAGUUAUAGAUAUUAAAAAUUAAUAACAACAAACGACAAACACGAAAAAAUCAACGAAAACAUCAAUUACCGUUGUACGCUCUGACGUUUCAUCAAUCCAACUUUAAUCCUUUCGUGUAUGACAUUCACAGAAAAAGGUUACUGGAUCCGCCUCUUUCCCAUGCUGGUUCCGCUUUAUGAAAAAUAAAGUUUCAUACAAACAAUUUUAAGCACACCUCAUACUAAAAUAAAAUUUAUAAUUAUGUAUUAUUUAAAAUUAACAACAUAUCUUUAAAGUGAACAAUCCUUACAAAUUCUUGCCAUUUUCUUGCAAAAGAUUUUGUCCCAGUAGUAUGGUUCAUUGUUUUCUUUUUCCGAUUAAUCUUAUUUUUCUCAGCAACCUCCUGACAAAAAAGGGGAAUUUUUUAGGCAAAUUUAAAGUUAAAACGAAAUAAAUCAUAUAAUAAUUACCCUAGUUUUUUCCUUAUUCCAGUAUGCCACCAAUGCAGCCCACUGUGCAUGAUUCACUUCAGGUGGAGGGUGGCUGCGCUCCUCUUCUGCUCUUUUAGAAUAAUGCUCUUUUUUUAACUUAUUUCUAUAUUCUUUAUGUGCAUGCUCAGCAAUCUUAAGCGUCAUAUGGCGAAUUAUAGGCAUUUUCACAAUAUUAGCAUCUUCAAAAAAAAUAUUACCCUGCAUUCAUAAAAAAAUAAUCAAGCCAAUCAAUUAUUAUUACAUUUAUCGCUUUUUUCUUCUAUUCUCAAGGAAAAAAAAUUAUAUAUAUACCUUUAUUCUAUUCCACAAAACUUCCUUAUCUUCUUCCUUAAUCUUACGCCAAUCCCUCUCUAACGGGAAAUUUCUGUUGUCUCGUACCUCCGCUGCUAGAAGUCUUGAAAAUUCACUAGACUUAUCACUAAUGCAUUUUCCGGACGAAUCAAACGAACAAAGCUGUUUCGUCCAUUUAGGAAUUAAGGGUCCCCGCCUCCGUUGAGAUGUUCCUUAUUAUAACAAAAAAAAAAGCAAUUAAAAACACAGAAACAAAUGUAGAUUUUCAGUUUAAACAUAAUACUAGUUUAAACACAAAACAAAACUGAAAUUAUAAUAACCUUAGCUGCGAUCUUUUUUCUUGAGCUACGAUCUUUUUUCUUGAGCUAUCAUCUGCGUUGGUAAUUUUAUAUCUUGAUUUACCACAAACCGAGCACACGGUCAAAUCCGAAGUAUCUUUCCAAUAGAUCAUGCAAUCAUUGGGACAUGCAUCAAUUUUCACAUACGACAGACCCAAGUCAUUUAUAAGUUUUUUUGCCUUGUAACGGGUUUCAGGCAAACAAUCCCCUUCAGGCAAUAUUCUUUUAAUUAACUCCAGUAAAGUGGUGAAGAUCUCAUCUGGCAUUCCCACUAAACACUUAAUCUGAUACAGUCUUACAACUGCUUCCAAUUUCUUAAACUGCUUACAACCUGGCCACAAAUCUUGAUCUGCCUCUUCAAGCAACCUAAAAAAAGUCUCCACCUCUUCUGGACGCCCUUCCCUAAUGGGGGGUUUAGUAGACGGCCCAACACUUUCUUCUGUUAAUGGUUGGACAAAUACAUCAUUAAGAAAAUCAUGCAUGCCAAUCACCUCAUCUCCUGUUUCUUCUUCUCUAAUUGCCAUAUUUUACUCUCCAAUGUUUUGCUCGCCAUGAUGUCGCCACCAAGCGUUUUUAUAAUCUUUAUCCAUAUCAUACAAUAUGAGAUGUUCAACAAUAGUGUUCCUAACAAAAGUGUAUCGAUUACAACAUCUUUUGUAAGGACAUCUAAACUUAUCAGGUCCAACACCAUUUGCAACUGCUUGAUCCAAAAACAAAUUAAUUCCAGCUGUAUACGCUUCAAAAUUUCGAGGUAUCGUCAACCAACUCUUGUCCAUGCUUUACCACUUUACGAGGGCAAAAUAGUACGUUCACACUAAGAUGCCUACAAUCUUUCAAUCCCUAUCAUGUAGGCAUAACUAUUAGAAUUUUCAAUUUCUAUCUUUCAACCCUCGAACUCUAUCACAAUUGCAAUCUUUUAAUUUUCAACACCUAUUAUAGUGAAAACAAAUUAAAAUAACAACAAAAAUUUAUCAAAAUUAUGCUUAUCUAAUCCAUUCUAAUAAAUACCAACCAAAAGUUAUCAAAAUAACAGCAAAAACAAAUUAAAAUAACAAUUACAGUACAAAACAAAUUAAUUUAACAUAAUAUAUUCUUAUAUUACUAAAUAUCAUAAGUUUAUGUUAUAUUUAAUAUUGUUAAUUUAACAUAAAUGCUAAUAAAUAUUAUUCAUUUCCAUUUUCUCAUAACAAUUCAAGUGACAAAAUUAAUUAAUUCGACUAAAUAUAAAUUAAUUUAACAAAAAUAAUAGAAAUUUAUCUAAGUACUUAAAUUAGAAUUUUUAAAUAAAUAAAAUUGUGUUUUAUACAAUUAAAGAAUUUAGUGAUAGAAACCUGAAUUAUGGAAGAAUUCCGUCGUCGAUGAAUUCUUUAUGUACUCAAGCAGCUCAAAUAAAUUCCCUACAAAAAUGAAUUGUAAAUAAAAAUUAAACAUAAUAGGAGAGAAUAAAAAUAUUAAAAGCAAAAAACACUUACUGUUGUGAAGAAGUAACAAACGAAAUUGGAAUAACAAAUAAGAAAGGUCUAAGUGAAAGAACAAGGGGAGGGUUUGUAAGAGAGGAAGAACAAACAAGAAAAAUGGAAGAGAGGAUGAAAGAGAACACGGGAGGGUAUAUAAAGACCCUCAAUCCGUCGCUACAACCGACACUAAGUUUUAAAAUAUUUUAAAAAACUAAAAUCUAUGUCGCUCAGAACCAACGCAGGCUUUAAAUUAUUUAAAAACAAUAAUUUGUGUUGCUUAAAAGCGACACUAAUACUUUAUGUCGCUAAAAAGCGACACUGUUUUGUUUAAAGCGACGCUAUUAUUUAAAAUUAUUAAAAUAUAUGUCGGUUAUAAGCGACAUUAAAUGUUUACGUCGGUUUAAAAGCGACGUAGAAAUUUUAUGACGCUUAUAAGCGACAGUAAAUCCGACGUCAUCUUCAGUUAGUGUCGCAACUGUCUUAUCCGCCACUAUAUUAAAUUAAACUGACGCCACCUACUGUGACACAUCCCGUCCCGAAGUAGGGCAUGCUGGCCGUCACGUGAGAGUGACGUAACCAUUUGCACAGUACGGAAGCUUUAAGAUACAAUUUAUAAGUUGAUACACCCGAAGGUGAGUCCUAAUUUUGUCCAAUCUGUCAGAACACCGUCGAAUUCCUCGUAGUCACCACACCUUUGUGAUUUUUGAACCUGGAGGGGCGCAAAACCAAAAUUGAGUGGGUCAGUAAAACAAUUCUUUUCCAAAUCCAAACAUUUCUCAAAACGUUGUAACCCCUCUCCGUAAAACCUGUAUACUUUCCCAGAAAUGUAAAAUAUAAAUCUACAUAUAUAUUCUCAAGACUUCAAGUCGUUAACUCAACAUUUUCAUACAAUUAUGCCAUGCCACAUCAUCUCAACAUUUCUCAUAUUAAUUAUGCCAUGCCACAUCAUCUCAACAUUUCUCAUAUUAAUUAUGCCAUGCCACAUCAUCUCAACAGUAAUAAGGUAUGAAUGCAUCAACAUAAUCAUAUCAGGUGCAAGAAAGUAAUCAACCGUAGGCCCUCUAAUAGCCCUGUACGGUUGAACCUAGAGCUCAAAAUCUAUCACUCUCACACUCUGCCGGAGUCACUCCGCGUGACCUGUACGGCCUUCUGCACAUAAGUUACGCUCUAGUGCUUCUCAUAAUCAUUUGUGCACAUAAUCUAAGGUCACCCACCAGUCGGAAUCUCACUAACACUCUCGCGACUGGCCUGUCGUACCCACUCCGCGUGGACUGUACGACUAGCAUCUACUUGGAUCCAAGACGAGCGUGCGAUGCGGUGAAUACUAUAAGCACUAAACUAUGGUGCAGGAUUUGAGCUCAAUAUACAUCAACAUCAUCAUAACAGAAAUAAAUACUCACAUGUGCGUCCACCGCACCAUUUCAUACAUAUGCAUCAUAAAUCAAUUCUUACCCGUGCGUCCACCGCACCAAUUCAUACAUAUGCAUCAUAAAUCAAUUCUUACCUGUGCGUCCACCGCACCAAUUCAUACAUAUGCAUCAUAAAUCAAUUCUUACCUGUGCGUCCACCGCACUAAUUCAUACAUAUGCAUCAUAUAUUAAUUCAUGCAUGGCAUUUCAACUCACAUUUCUAAAUACUUUUCAUAUCAAUUCUAUGCAUGGUAUUUCACUUCCCGUUUUUCCACAUAACUCAUAUGCAUUUCAUUUUAAACAUAUUUUCAUUUCAAUUCAAUUUCUGGGAAACGUCAAGUAUAUAUAUAUAUACGGAAAACAAAACUGCCCACUCACCUGGAGUUCGUCCAACAACUCCCUAGCACCACACAUCAAGGCGUCACGACGAUCGGCGCCUAAAACAAUAAUCAAAUCUAGCCUCAGAAUUCAUAUCGAUAGAACAUAUAACUUAUAUAAAAUACGUCACUACGUAGUUCGAUCCGGAAGAUCUGCCACUCAGAUUUUAAAUCCAUAACUUCCAGAGGUCCACAAUAUAUCUCUAGGAUAACAUCCUAAAAUUUCAUUUCCAUCCAACGGUCGGAUCUCCGUCAAUUUCCAAAACUAAGUGACGGUUAACAUUUUAUAUUAUGGACUUACAACUCCAAUUCCGGAAGAUCCGUAACUCGGAUUCCCAAUCCGUAAGUUCCAAUAAUCCUCCAAUAUUACGUAUUACAACGUAUCAAAGUUUGGUGAUGAUCCAACGGUCGGAUCGUCAAUUCAUAUUUUCACCUAAAUGCAAAAACUAUAAAACGUUAUUUGAACACCUAACCAACAAUCCUUAACAACUUUCUCAUACGGUGCUCAAUUUGGGUAUAUGAAUAUACCACGGUGAUCUACUCGACGUCACGGACGUCGAAAUAUUUUUAAAAUAAUUUUUUACUGUAGCACGCGACCCCACGCGCCAAGGAAGGCACGGACCUACGCGCCCCCACGCGCACCUUCUUCUUCCUUGGGUCGCUGGACUGGUUUUUCCGGUGACCGGAAAACUGGGCAUUUUUCAAAUGCCUUGUUCUCCUUCGUUUCUCAACCAUUUUCUUCGUAUAAUAUAUCAAAUUGAAGCCCCAAACAUGUAGAAUCACAAUAUACUACUUUAAAGCUCUAAAAACCAUGAAAUCUCACCGGAAAAAUUCCAAGAAAACCGGCCAAAGAUGAACCACGUGAUCCCGGCGUCUAAAUCCUUCAAACGAAGCACUCCGAGCUUCCUUGGGACCUCACUAAGCUCACUAUGAACUUGGAUUGUCCUAAAAUCAACCAACAAAAAGUUCAUGAAUAGUGCCAAACUCGGACCUCGAGUUUUCAACGCGAAAACGAAGGAUUCCUUACCUGAAAAUGGUGUCUACGUGAUCGUGGAGGUUCCAGGAGUUCGAUGGUGGUCUUAAAUUGGACGUUCGUGGAGGUUUGAUUGAGGUUGUGUGUGAGUCCGUAUGUUCGAGAGUAAGAGAGAGAGUGAGAGAGAGUUUUCUGAGAAGAAUAAGAUAGAGAGAAGAGGUUACGGGUUUUAGGGAGGGAAUUCAGGGUAGGAGGCCCUACCUAAGUCCAAACACAAAUUAACCAUAGUUUCGGAUCUUUAGAUAACACAAUGUCGUACAUUUACGCACCUUAAUCCCGUUUAAGGGCAUAUUGGUCAUUUCACGUCCUCGGAAUUAAAAUUCCGAGACGGGCUGUGACAAUCUCCCCUCCUUAUAGAAUUUCGUCCCCGAAAUUCCAGCCACCAACCAACCCAUCAAUACUCAUACCAAACUCGGUAAGUUUCUUUCAUCCGAUUCUUUUUCUCCUACGAAAUUUUCUUCCACUGAAUAAUUCCUUCACAAAACUUUUACCAUUUACUCUAUCUUAACUCUCAUGAUCUUCUUUUUCCAAUCCAAAGUUGUCAUUAGCUCCUCACUAAUUAGAUCCAGUUUAAUUCUCAAUAGUUACACCAGAAUUCCAUGAGACGACUCUGCCACCUAGUGACAACGCAUCGAACACAAAAUACAUUAAGUACCGUUGCCCUGUCUGGGAAAAAGUUAUUACUCAGCACUGGAGUAAUUGUACUAACUUGGUACAUUGCCCAACUAUCACUUCAAAUUCGAUCAUAACCAUCCUAUGUACAAGGAAACUUGUACACAUAAUCCAAAGUAAUAUCUUUCCAUUUCCACUGCGAAACAGAAAAUAGUUAUCUCAAUCCAAAGGUUUAUCUUUUUCUGCCUCAAUCUGCUGACCAAAUAAAACUGUCGAAUGGUAUGAUAAAUCUUAUUACUUUUGGAAUAUUGCAGAAGUUGAACAGUGAACUUCGUCCAAAUUUGCUUGCUUUAAAUCCUCAGCAUUAGGCACAUACUUUUUGUUUUCUUGUAUCCACAUACCAUUUGAUUCACGAAUCAUGUACUCAUUCUUUUUCCCUUCUUUCUCUGCCUUGGUUAAUUCUUAAAUUUCCUCGUCAAACAUUUAAGUUUCGAGUACGACCUUACCAAAAGGCCUAACUUGAAACUUAGCAAGUAUAACUUCUUCUCGAUCUUUCAUUCUUAACUUUACUUUAGUUGGUUUCCAAUCCACAAGAUGAUACUCUUGGCCAACGUGCCAGACAUUAAUUCUUACUGCAAUCUUUUUAUCAAGUGCUUCAACUAUAUCAAUCCCACGAUCACCCUGGUCGUACAAUCAUGUUCAUUAAACAAUUCAAUUUACCUUCGCUGCCUCAUAUCAAAAUCCUUCCAAGUAAUGGAUAUUGAAGACUUUUUGGAUUCGUAAAAUCUUGCAUUCUUACCAAAUAUAAUGCCUUCAUAACUUCACAGCAAGAAUGGUAAUCAUGACUUCCAAGUCACCCGUAGGGUAAUUCAUCUCAGGAGGUUCCAUUUAUCGUGAAACGUAUGCAAUCACCCUAACAUUUGCAUCAACAUGCCUCCAAUACCAUUCAAGAAACAUCACUAAAAAUUUAUGAUUACCACUAUUCUCUGGGAAUACCAAAAUACGUGCAUGAGUGAGGAAAUACUUCAGUUGUUGAAUCCUUUGCUCACAAUUUCCUUCCCACUCAUACAUAACCUCUUUUCUCAACAGUCUCGUCAAUGACAAAGCAAUGACUAAAAAAUCUUUCACAACCAUCCAAAAUAGCCUGGUAAGCUAAGAAAUUCCGAAUCUCAAUUAUGGCUUGUGGUUGUUCCAAAUUUUUAAUUUCUACUACUUUUUAAGGAUUCACUUGAAUACCUUAAGAAUAUAUAACAUAUCCCAGAAUGCCACCUGAUUCAUCUAACUUUAACAUUUGCUACUUAGCAUACAACCAACGUUCUCUCAAUCUUUGCUUCACCAACUUAAUACGUUUACAUGCUCUGCUCUGGCUCAGAAUAUGCCAGAAUAUCUUCAAUGAAAACGAUAUCAAUUAUCAAAGCAUUAUUGGAAUACUUCAUCCAUCAACUCAUAAAACAACAUGAGUAUCCAUAUAGCAUCACCAAACUUCAUAAAGACUAUAACAAGUCCAGAAAACCAUCUUAUGAUCAACGUCAUUCAUAAUCUUUAAUUGGUAAUAACCAGACUUCAAGUCAAUCUUUGAAAAUAUACAAGCACCUUUGAACUGAUCAAAUGAGCGUCAAUACACCACAAUGGAUAACGGUUCUCAUUCGUUACCCGAUUCCAUUAUCUAUAAUCAAUGCACAAUCUCUAAGUCCAUUUUCUUUUUCACCAACGAACUGGUGCUCCUCAAAAGUGUUAUACUGGGUUGAAUAAACUUUUAUCAACCAAUUCCCUCAAUUGAAUUUCCAAUUCACUUAACUCAUCAUGAACCAAUCUCUAUCAUAAGAUUUAUACCUGGCAACAAUUCAAUAGUGAACCUCACAUCUUUGCAUGAAGGCAAUCCAGGUAUACUUUCAAGGACAACAUUAAGAAAGCGUCCAAUUACCUUUACAUUUUCCAACUACUAGGAGCCACAUUAUUUAGCAUCACAUAAGCUAAGUAUCCUUGACAGAUCUUCGAAAACAAUCUCCUUGCUCUCACAGCAUAAAUAACGGCCUGACUCAAUCCACUUUGCAUACUUACAAAAGUAAUCUCUGGUCAUCCAGAUCGAUGGAAAGUACUGGUUUCCUGUAACAUUCCGUCGUGUCACAAUUAUAACCAACCAAUCUAAUGGAACAGAAUUAACUGAUACAAUAUAUAUUCUAUUAUUAAGCAUUCUGAAGAAGUACAAUACUAACAUAAAAUAAUCUACUAGGUUGCUUGCUUAACAAAUCCACGAAUGAGUUAUUAAUAUUACGGUCUGCAGCCCGCAAUACUGAUAAAUCAUCGUUGUCUCGAUAAGUAGGCAACCACUCUCAAAGAUAUAACAUUACUAUUUUGAUACUCAAUGCAAAAUACAUACACUCGUCUCAACUACAAUUAAUUACUACUCUCUAGGUAAUAACAUACAUAAUAAGAAAUAUAUCAGCCGAAGUCAACUAGAAUGACCAAUACGGCUGAUUCAACUCUUAUCUCAAUAAUACGUCGGUCGGAUCCACUCCGCGUGGUCGGUACGGCCGAGCCUAUAACUCACCAAUUUCUCAUGCGUCAGCCAGAUCCACCUCUCGUGGCCUGUACGGCUGAACAUAUAACUCAUCAAAUCUCUCUGUACUCACGGUCAAUCCGACCAAACUACUAAAUCCAUAACUCUGCUGAAUCGAUACUACGAUGUCAUAGAAAACUGUUGGGUACAACUGAUUCUAGGGACGAUUCAUAAUUUUGUGUCCUCUCUGUUCACAUAAACACAUUCCUUAAUUUCACACUUCCCAAAGUGUUAAUUUUGUACCUGCUGCACAAGGUACAUUUCCUUUACUCGAGACACCUUGUCUCAAAUAUCUGGAUGGAACGAGGCAAGUCUGAAAACUUUCUAUAAUAUUCAUUUAUCGUCAACUUCCUUGAUUCACAUUUGUAAACUCUUGCUUACUACCAUCGAUAAAUGCCGGAGGGAUAAACUUUUCCUUAAACAAGUCCUUAAAUAAUUCUCAAUCAGCUGUUUUCUCCGGUGACAACAAUUAACAAUCCUGUUUCCACCAGGAUACAAAUUCAUACCCAAAACCAGGUAGUCGUCUCGACCCCUUGUCAGAAGGAAGAUUCCUUUGACUUGCAUAAUCCGAAACAUCUUUUCCAAAUGUUUAAACCGUUACUUUGUUCCCUCAGGUUCAUCAUUUCUCUUAUGUGAUUCAAGUUCAACUCAUUACCCAUCUUAAAAUGUCCAUUUUGAUAAUAUACUGAAUCACCAUAAUAAUAGUUUCCCCUAACCCGCUAAAUCAGGGAGACUAAGUUCCUCUAACUACGUGGUUUGCUACGAGGCGGUGUAGUUCUGACAGAAUUCACUAGAAACUUCUCAAGAUGUCCAAGAUUGCAACCAUGCUCUGAUACCAACUGACACACCCCGUCCCGAAGGAGGGCAUGCUGGCCGUCACGUGAGAGUGACGUAACCAUUUGCACAGUACGGAAGCUUUAAGAUACAAUUUAUAAGUUGAUACACCCGAAGGUGAGUCCUAAUUUUGUCCAAUCUGUCAGAACACCGUCGAAUUCCUCGUAGUCACCACACCUUUGUGAUUUUUGAACCUGGAGGGGCGCAAAACCAAAAUUGAGUGGGUCAGUAAAACAAUUCUUUUCCAAAUCCAAACAUUUCUCAAAACGUUGUAACCCCUCUCCGUAAAACCUGUAUACUUUCCCAGAAAUGUAAAAUAUAAAUCUACAUAUAUAUUCUCAAGACUUCAAGUCGUUAACUCAACAUUUUCAUACAAUUAUGCCAUGCCACAUCAUCUCAACAUUUCUCAUAUUAAUUAUGCCAUGCCACAUCAUCUCAACAGUAAUAAGGUAUGAAUGCAUCAACAUAAUCAUAUCAGGUGCAAGAAAGUAAUCAACCGUAGGCCCUCUAAUAGCCCUGUACGGUUGAACCUAGAGCUCAAAAUCUAUCACUCUCACACUCUGCUGGAGUCACUCCGCGUGACCUGUACGGCCUUCUGCACAUAAGUUACGCUCUAGUGCUUCUCAUAAUCAUUUGUGCACAUAAUCUAAGGUCACCCACCAGUCGGAAUCUCACUAACACUCUCGCGACUGGCCUGUCGUACCCACUCCGCGUGGACUGUACGACUAGCAUCUACUUGGAUCCAAGACGAGCGUGCGAUGCGGUGAAUACUAUAAGCACUAAACUAUGGUGCAGGAUUUGAGCUCAAUAUACAUCAACAUCAUCAUAACAGAAAUAAAUACUCACAUGUGCGUCCACCGCACCAUUUCAUACAUAUGCAUCAUAAAUCAAUUCUUACCCGUGCGUCCACCGCACCAAUUCAUACAUAUGCAUCAUAAAUCAAUUCUUACCUGUGCGUCCACCGCACCAAUUCAUACAUAUGCAUCAUAAAUCAAUUCUUACCUGUGCGUCCACCGCACUAAUUCAUACAUAUGCAUCAUAUAUUAAUUCAUGCAUGGCAUUUCAACUCACAUUUCUAAAUACUUUUCAUAUCAAUUCUAUGCAUGGUAUUUCACUUCCCGUUUUUCCACAUAACUCAUAUGCAUUUCAUUUUAAACAUAUUU